rnacentral:lncRNA from 1 species
GGAAAUACAUGAUUUUGCUAGGUUUUGCCCAUAGGGAAGUAGCAAGAAAUCAUGAAAAAUCAGUCAUUUUUGAUCUAUUUUCGUUAGAUAAGAAAAGUCGAAAAAGUCCUAUUUAGAAGCAAAAAAGCCGGGAAAUAGCAAUGAAAGAAUCAUAAAGGGAUAAGAAAUUCACAUAGUUUGUUCAAACUUCUAGUUUCUGGUCCGGAGAAAUACGGGUCUAUUCUUUAUUUCACUCCAGGUUAUUCAAUCAUAAGGAUUCUUGAAUUCGAGUUAAUGAGCCCGUAGUUAGGAGUAUUAAGACCGGUCCUACGUCCAUUUAUCCUCCGGACUAUCCGUAAUUAACCGAACUUUGCACCUCCGGAUAGGAAAAAAGUGACUAAAAAGGAGCUCAAGUCAACGCAUAUUGAAUUGCACCUCUUCUCUCCCUUUCUUUUUGCUUCGCACCUCUUGCGAGUCGAGUUUCUUCUCACCGCGUAGUGGGGCGGAUCCCACGGAGCGGUUCAAACUGAAAUUGAAAGAUUUGAAUCAAGGGAAUCUGGAUCUGUACCGUCGAUCCUGUUAUGAGAAGAAUGAAAGCAUAUAAUCGUAUCCUCUCGGCAGCUUCUUGAUCUUCCUCUUCUGGGCCUGCUACAUCGUUCCGACCCUUGCUUUGCUUCUUAAUACGGUCGAAGGGUAUUACAAGCGCUCGACCUACUUCAGAGUCUUUUCGAGAAUGGGAGUCAAUAAAUAAUGAAUCCAGUUUCCAGGUUCAAGGCCCCACGUAGGGGGAAGAGAUCUAGCUGAAAGAGCUGCUACAACUAAAGCAAGGACUGCUGGAACAAGAACUGCUACUGCCUCCGAUUCCCCCUACCUAAACUGAGAUUCUUCUUCUUCGAAUUCAACUGAUUUAUCUAACUGCUUCGGAUCCACGGAGUGCAAUAUUGAAGAAUUUAUUAGAAAGAAAGAAGCAUCUCGACUCUUCCAAUCCAUCUUGAUUGUAUAGGUUUCAUGAGAGGGGAAUAACUACGAAUGGGAACUUCCAGUUUUUGAAGUAGGAUCACUAGAGGCAGAUUUUCGGGCGGGGAGGCAGUCCCAGUUGAAUGAUCAGUUUCGGAAGUUGCCCACUCCGCGGUUCAAAGAAUAUUGACAGUCGCUUUAGUUCUUGCAGCAGAAGUAGCUGUCGUAGCUCGUCUUCCUCUUUCAUCAGUGGCUCUUUCUGUAUCGGUUGAAGAACUAUAGAUAGGCCCAGUUUAGCAGAGCUUCACCAUAGGGUCUUUCGUCGGAUUCUGACUAGUGAUGCUGCACUUGUAUUCCCCAUACUCGGAUCGUAGCGGGCAAUCAUCUCUCAGUCGAUAAAGGCUCGACGCACCCAUCUUGUAGUUGCGGUUCUUUCUCUUGGUGAUAAGAGUGAUAAGGCGAAUCAAGUGGCAUUUAACUCUUUCUUUACGCCUUCUUUCUUUCUACUUUCUACCAGUCCUUUUUAGAGUCCUUCGGACGUCCUCAGUCCUAUCCAUUAGAGAAUUUGAGUUGCGGCUAUUCUAAAAAGGUAUAAGGUUGCCUAUAUUUCAUUCCCGAUUGAACAAGGACAGAGCCUUAUGCGGAAGACAUUGGUGGUGGGACAACUGAAAGGGCGGAUGCCUCAACCGCAGAGUGGGAGUCUCACCUUUCUCUUCUUAUGUUGGGAGUUUUUGUCCCAUAAAAAAGAAUAUACCUUUUCAUCAAUCCGUAGUUCAUCCUACUCAUCAUCAUAUACUAUAGAAAAUCAGAGCUUCUAAAGCAGAACGGAUGAGGCAGGAGAGACUGAAACGAGAACAAGAAAAGCCACUUCCUCAACAGAACAAGUGAGAGCCACGGCCUCUGGUCGAACAGCCUCUUAAGUGGGUCGCUCCUUUCUCUCUCGCUUUAUUUAGCUCGACUCAAUUACAUUGAUCCGAUCCUGCUCAAGAAAUAAUCAGAGUGUUGAAGACCGUCCUUCAGCAUAAUCUAAUAGGAUCAAAGUAUUUGAGCUUUGCGCCUAGCCUUCGGACGGAAGAAAAACAAAGGUCUAUAUGAACUACAUCGCAAUAUUCUUUGCACCUCACGCAAUGAUCUUUGCUCCUCCUUCUACGCUCUCCAUGGGCUCGACUGAGAUGGACGGAGGCUAAGACAGGGAUAUUGAUGAUUGAUUGACUGGUCCGAAGGACUAUCCAUCAGGGAGGCUCAAAGCAAGCCCACUACACGGGAAGAAUGGAUAUUGUAGACCGCGGGGGAGGGGUCAAAGAAUUUGAGAAGAAGCGAAGAAAGCCCUCACUGAGCGAAGCCCACGUAGCGGUAUGAAAGAGUAUGAAAUGACUAUGCGAGCGUACAGAUCCCCAUAUUCAUUAGGCGAAGGACUUAUUUAUUGAACUGAAACUGACUGAACUUUCCUUUCACCUCUCCUUCUCUUUCUACACUCGAAGAGCUGAGCUCCAGAUCCAAUGCUGAUGGCAAGGCUUGAGCACUACGAAUGAGCUCUGGCGUCCGGAAACUCACUCAUUCAAAAAAAAAGAUGAGAUCGAUUCAUUGCACUUCCUUCUUGACUUCCGCGUAGUGGGCCCUCCCUCUCCUGAGAAUGAAAGCGAGAGGGUUCGGAUGUAGUCCGAAUCGAGAAAAUACUGAGUUUAGGCCCCUUCUCGAGUGAAGUAUAUUGGGUCCUCCUUUCUUCAACUCCAGGAUCUCAUACCGAUGCCUUCAAUCAAUGGCCCGGCCAGGGGAGUUCAUUAAAGAGUUCGAGUCCACUCUCUCUACUUAAAUUGAGAUUUGGGAAAUCCAUGAUUUAGUAGGAAAAAGACUUACUUGAGCAAGAGCAUUCCUCAUCCUAAACCUCGACUCAUUGAAUUCCACUAAGAAGGAUGAUGUUGGGAUCUUCCCUUUGUCCCUGGUCUAUUCCCCUUUCGAGCUUCCUCCACCUUCCACUCUCCUUAUCAGUAGCAAGAUCAGCAGCAAGGGCGAGCCCUAUCUAUCUGAUUAUCCUUUUCGGAGACUUCCCUUCGCAAGAGAUCAUAUCUGGGACUACGGAGAAUUCUCCUCCUUCCCAAUGAAAGAAAAAGUAUGACUCUUCCCUGGUCGAGACUGAUAACCUAGUCCUAUGGAGCCCCACUCUUCUUUCUUCUCUUUCUUCGUAGUAAAUACCUUGAUUCUAUACAGAAUAAGAUAACUCCUUUCGUAUUCAUACCUCGUCUACAUUAAUAGUGAGCGCUGACUCCUCGGGUAAGCCGUUGAGAUCCGGAAGGAUUGAUCCUACUUAUUCAAAUUCAUUCCGAGGCCACUGACUGACUAAUUCUUCUAGCUUUACUCAAGCGAAGAGAAUCGCUUCCGAUUCAUCAUUAUUACAGAGAUGCUAAAUUCAAUGACUGAGAAAACCCAGCCUAUAUCUAACCGAUGUCAGUGACUCACUCUUAUGCUAUGCAUUCAAUGCCCUAAAAGCACCUCUAUCCUGAAAUCUCUCGACUUUCAUCCUAUUUUCCGGUAUGGACGCGAAGCUCCUCUUCCGAUCCUGGGUGGAGCAUAAAAGGACCUCCCCCUCAACUCUUAAGGAAUCAGACUCCUUCUCAUGAAAGAAAGACUUCUUCCGACCCUCUCCCGAAACAAGAGCAUUCUAAACUUCUACAUCGCGGAGAUAGAGGACUUCGAAUAUGAAUUCAGCCUCCUACUACCUUGUCUUUCUUCUUUCUAUAUUCUUGAACUCAUUGAUAAGGACAUAUUCACUUGCAUCCGAAUCCGAGAAGAAGUCAAGCCCACUGGUCUCGCCUUUGUCCUCUCCCACUAAUUAAGGUCGUCGAGCGGACUCUGAUGAAAGGCAAUUCCCCGAUCCUACUUAGUUAUAGCUGGGUUCUAACCUUUAUAGCUGGAGGACUACUUGGUCUAGCUGCUUGGGUAAGCCCUUUCUAUCCUAUUAGGUCUCGAAGCUUCCUUUGUUCCGAUCCAAGUGCCAUAGUUCCGAUCAGAGUCAACUCGGUCCUUGCUUCCUAUUGGUGCUUUAUAAUAUAAGUCGAGUCGUAUGAUAACCUCUAACUCUUGCUUCGGCAACAUCUCAUUCCCUGUCUCCUGAGAACAGUUAUUCAGUAAUGGAAUAAGAGAGUUUCAUACCGCUACGUGGGACUGAUGGAUUCCAUGGAACAAGAGUCACAGCCGCACUCAAUCAGUGACGUCGUAUGAUAACCUCUAACUCUUGCUUCUGAGAAUACUUAUCGCUUCCAACGGAACUUAGUCCUACGAACUGAAAGAUCCCCUUACAAGCUCAGCUACUCACUGUAGAGCAUACUAACUGCCCGCAGCACCCUCCUCUUCCCCCCGCCGAGAGGGCUUCCUAUGGAGGUGGUUAUGCUUCUUCGCAUACGAUCCCUAUCAAGUCAAGCUCCUUCUUCCACUCCCACUAGGUUUCUUCAUACAAUUCCCGCUCCGUGGGAGUUCUAGCUGCCGAGAGAAGAGUUACCUGUCUGCGUCCCCGCUCCGUGGGCUUCUUAGUCUCUGACCUUGAUUCCAGGACAAAUAACUAUUCUCCUUCCUCGGUAAAUCGGGAAAGCUGAUAAGGGCAACUUCGUCUUACCUUGAAAAAGUAGUUAUUCCCUGAACACUCGUCUUCUCGGGCGGCUUCUUAUAACAUAACCUUCCACUCGGGACACCCGUACCUAACCCUAUGAUUCAGAUGAAUGAGAUCGCACGUCUUUGAGUACUUCCCGCCGAUGAAUUGGGAUUUCUUUCUCAUAAUAGAUAAAGAAAAGAGAUGCAUGCUACUUAAAUGAGAGAUUCAGACCUCUGAAGAAGACCUAUCCUGGGGAAGUCUCGCCCUUUCUCCUCUCGCUUUGUUCGAGCAUAUUUCCUCUUUCUUCCACUCGAAAUCCAUAUAUAUCCUACCAGCCCGCAACCCUUGUUUCGUUACUGACUCUAAUUCUAUUCAUUGAAUACCGUAAAUAAGUAGAUAGAAGAAUAGUUCUUGCAAUGGUAAAGCUCCUAACCCCGAUCAGGAAACCCAUGAAAGAGCAGACUCAACGGAUAAGUCUUCAUCAACCCUAUCUGGGAAAAGGCAAGUCUGAUCCCGGUCCUUUGUCUCCAUUCUGAGAUUCCGAGUUGAACAGGGCGUGAACCUUCCCAUAAUUCAAAGUAUGAAAUAGACUUUUCAUCUUUUCUAAUCCGGAAUGCGGAGUAGGAGGGAUCUCAACAAGAUAGACAUCUUUAUCCCAGGAUUUCUCCUUUCAAGCCUUUCCUUUCAUAAUCGUUCUUUAUAUAAGGGGUUGGGACUCAAUAAAUCCAGUAAGAAGGCAGGGAGAUCUAGCAAGAGCAGACUCUUGUUCAACGACAGCUAGAACGAAAGCUAGGAGAUAAACUGAUUAUUCUGAAAGAACCUCUCCUCUUCCUCUGGUCGAGACGUGCCGGCUCUUCCUCUUGAGAAUUCCUGCGUAUCGUUCAGUUACUCGUAUUGUAGGUGGAGCUCCAUAACGUUCUAGCCUCUCGCUGUGGAAUAGUAGUUAUCCCAGGAAGACAAUCCACAGUGAAAAAAGUAGAUCUGAAGCCACUGAUAGGCGGCCUUUCUAUCUUAUGCAUGAGCUGAUGGGUCUGUCUGUCCGCAGCUGUGAAUUCUAGCAAGAAAGCUAUGUCUCUUUCGUGACAAGCACUCGGAUAUUCUUUCUCUUUCUCUGACGCUUGGAGUGAUGACCUCAUAAGACCGAACCCUAUUGCUGCUUUGCACCUGGCCGGUCGAUCUGACUAACUAAGUUCUUAAAUGGCACAGCUCUCUCACAUAUGAAUACCUUUACUGUCGAGCUAGGGUUUCUCCUAUUUCAUACCGCUACGUGGGUGACUCCCGAUCCUCUCAGUCUCGGUCUCCUUUUCCCGGGUUGAAGGAAGCCUUUCUUUACGUCAAUAUUCUUUUCACCUUAUUUAUUCAAUAUGAUUCAAAUAUUUCUAGUCCUUCGCGGAGGGAAAUACAAGAUUUUGCUAGGUUUUGCCCAUAGGGAAGUAGCAAGAAAUCAUGAAAAAUCAGUCAAAAUUAGACAAUUAUCGUUAUUUAGAGAAAACCGAGAAAGUAUGAAAAAGAAGCAAAAAAGCCGGGAAAUUGCAAGGCAUUGUCCUAUUUGAUUUUCGAAAUUCACAUAGUUUGUGAAAACUUUUCUAAUGGAUAGUCCUACGGACGGAUACUGAGAGGUCUAUUCUUUAUUCCGCUCCGGUUCAAAAAGAAAGAAUGUCUCAUCUUCUCAUAUUUCAUUGACCGUUAGGCUCUCGCAAUAUUCUUUGCGCCUUCUCCUUAAGAAUUCCGGAGGACCCGUCCUACAGUCGUCUGAAACGGACUGAUUUAUGGUAGGCUUUCCUCUUACUAACUAGUAGGUUCCCACUCCUUUUGCUUCAAAGAAGAAGGACUAAAGCGAUCACUGGAAUACCAGUUAGAGUACCCCAUUAUCCAGAAGACUGAGAGUAGUCUCGGCCAUUUGUCCCACUUCCCUCCCCAUUUCAUCAAGUGGUCGUGCUAGAGACAGAAACAGUCAUAGAUAAUUAUGAGAUUCUAUCCUCAAUGAGAAGAUAAUUCGUACUAUUAUUUAGUAUUUUCUUUGAUUUCAUUGAAGAAAUAAUUGGCAAAUAAAACAGCAAGUACAAAAAUGAGUAAUAACCCCCAGUAAAGACUGGUACGAUUCAAUUCAACAUUUUGUUCGUUCGGAUUUGAUUGUGUCAUAGCUCUAUAAUUCGGAUUAGGUUUAUCGUUGGAUGAAUUGCAUUGCUGAUAUUGACCCUAAAAAAGAAACGGUAGGUACAGCUAGUCCGUGAACAGCUAACCAUCGCACUGUAAAAAUAGGAUAAGUUUUCUCGAUAGUCAUUUGGUCCUCCUAAAAAGAUCUACUAAAUUCAUCGAGUUGUUCCAAAGAAUCAAAACGGCCAGUUAUUAAUGGAAUUCCUUGUCGGCUCUCUGUAAAAUACUCAUUUGGACGAGGGCUUCCAAAAACAUCGUAAGCUAAACCCGUGCUGACGAAUAACCAACCUGCAAUGAAUAGAGAAGGUAUAGGCUAUGAAUGACCCAGUAUCGAAUACUGGUGAUAAUAUCAGCAAAAGAACGUUCUCCUGUGCUUCCAGACAUGCCGAGCUCCACAUAUUCUUGUACAGUCAAAAGGGGGAUCGAUUCUGUAAAAGAUGAGAUCAGUAAAUGGAAAUUAACAGAAAUUCGAUCUUUGUAAGAUCGUCAAUAUUGUACCGAGGGUGUUUUUAGAGUAUACCGAAUCAGUAUAGCUAUCCUUCUUCUCACGCAGCAACGCAAUUUCACAAUAAGUAUAAAAAUGAAGCACUAAAUAAUCUCAUUUCUUUCUUCUUUUCUUGGUGCUUGUCGAUGUAGAAUCAUGUACCAUUCAUUCAAUAGAAAAUUCUGACAAUGCCUGUCUGUAGUAUUAAGGAUUCUCUCGGUUAUUGGCUUCGGGCUAGAAAGCGAAGGUUGGGUAAAAUGUGAAUCCAACUGGUUGGUUUAUAAUAAUUCAGGAAGCGGAUUCUAAUAGUCCCAAAAUUCAAUUAAAUUAGCCGUGAAAUCUAGAAAGAUUUCUUUUGUGUUUGUAGUUUGAAUCUUUUUUUUUUAAGGAAUUGGUUAGUCGUCCAGUAACAAGUAACUGUAGUACAUAGGAUUUGAUGAACGAAACAGAACCUAGAUUUAUAUAUUAAAUUAUUGUUUCUAAAUUGUUUAUAAUCAUAAUAUUUGUUUUGACAACUCAAGAGUUGUCCAAUGAAUCCCUUGAUUCCGAAUUGCGGGAUAGAGAGACAGAUGAUGAAUUGAUUUCUUACCUAUGUCACAAGAUUUUUGUUAGUAGCAUCUAUAAUCAUAAUAAUAGAUGAAUCAAAAACUUUCAAUUGAAUAUAUUCUUGAAAUUGGUAUUUUGACUUAUCCAUCCGCGUAUCUUUCAAAAAUAGAAACUUAGGGAAGUGCUUUAUAAACAUAUGGAUAAAAAUAACGUAUUGAAUUUAGCCUCGUCAUGCUUACUAUCACUAGUUAUUUCGGUUUUCUACUAGCAGUUUUCACUAUAACCUCAGCUCUAUUUAUCGGUCUGAACAAGAUAAGACUUAUUUGAUGAAAAUUAAUUGAAUGCACAAUUCAAAAAAAGAAAGAUUGAGGUCUUAUUCAAUAUAUUCUAUAUAUUGUAGAGUUCUUUACCUUGUCAAUUCAAUUUCCAAUUCUUGGUCAUUGGGCAGGGCAAUACCGAUUCAUUUUUUAAGGAUAGAUAUUACCUCUCCUUUUCCUCGUUCAACUAAAUUUCAAUGAUUGAAGUUUUUUUAUUUGGAAUCGUAUUAGGUCUAAUUCCUAUUACUUUGGCUGGAUUAUUUGUGACCGCAUAUUUACAAUACAGACGGGGGGAUCAGUAGAAUUUUGAUCUAACAAAACAAGAAUCGAAUCACGCUCUAUAGGAUUUGAACCUACGACAUCGGGUUUUGGAGACCCGCGUUCUACCGAACUGAACUAAGAGCGUUUUAUUAUCAAACUAAAUGCAACCCGAAUAUAUCUUCCAUACAUAUAUUAGAAUAUAGAAUAUCAGAAAAUGAAACAAAAAAAGAUGGAUUCGAUAUAUGAAAAGAUUGAUUCGAUAUAUGUAUGUUCAAUUUUUAUGGAUCUCAAUUGAUUCCUCGUUACUGUUCAGAAGAUAAGUAAUAGGUAGGGAUGACAGGAUUUGAACCCGUGACAUUUUGUACCCAAAACAAAGGCGCUACCAAGCUGCGCUACAUCCCUUUCAAUUGGUCUACAGUGUUAUUGUAGAGAAUCCCUGUCUUGUUUUCCACAUUUUUGAUUUAUUUCCUCCAUUGGUAUACACAAAUUAUCUUGCCAUUUCUUCUUUUUUGUCUCAUAGAAUAUCAAAAAUAGAAUAAAAAGACUUAUAUACGUAUGAAAUAAUAAAUAGGAAAUGGGGGAAAGCUACAUAUUUUUUUGAAUAAAAAAGGGAUGUUGUACAUUUCAAUUUGAAUUAGGAAUUCCGCGGACAAUACAAGCGGUUAUUAACUAUAUAUAAAUUUGAUGGUAUGUAAUACCAGUAUGUAUUACAAAUUACUAUCAUUAUUUAUUACAAAUUACUAUCAUUAUUUAUUACAAAUUACUAUAAAGUAGGAGGGUUUUCAAUGCGAGAUCUAAAAACAUAUCUCUCCGUGGCACCGGUAGUAAGUACUAUAUGGUUCGGGGCUUUAGCGGGUCUAUUAAUCGAGAUCAAUCGUUUAUUCCCGGAUGGAUGCGUUGGUAUUCCCAUUUUUUUCAUUCUAGUUAUUGACUUGGGAAGGGGUGAAGAAGAUUAGAAAAACAAUCAAAUAUCUUUUCAUACCUUCUUUUUUUUAGAGUUUUUAGACUUAGAAUAAGUUAGAAAGAAUCAAAAUAGAUUCAACCUCAGUCAAACUCGGACCCGGCGCCGGGUUCAAAUUUCAUUAAUAAAAGAACGAAAAUUCAAAUGUGAUGGCUAGGGCAACAAUAACAAACAUAGAGUAAAUAAAUCAAAAUAGAAAUGGAUAAAGAAAUAGUGGGUUCCUUCCUUUCUAUGGUUACUUCUUAAACGGUGAGGUCCUCUCUAUACACCGGAGCUCCUUCUUUUAUUUCAUCAAUGUUAUUGUUAACUUGUACAGGUCACCCUCUUUGGCUCUACCCAUGAAUUAUCUAGUAAUCGGUCUUUCACAACGAGAUCUACCUAUACAGUAACGGUAUUUCAUUAUGAAGAUUAGUUGGGUAGCUGACCCUCUUAGUCCGUUCUUGGAAGAAUAAGGCCAUAAUCCUUCUGUUAAAUAGGAUUUCCUCUGCUUAAUGGAUAAGCAUUUGUUACCAAUGGGGAAUGCAAAAUCAUCUAAAAUUGCAAAUUGAGAUGACCAAUAGAAACCAUAAAUUUGAUACACAAUAAAAGGAUACGAGAAAUCUUUGUUUAUUUCUUUUCGGUAGUGAACGGAGUUCUUCCAUUCAUUCUAUCCUAGUCACUGGUACUUAUCACUGAUACGGGAUCAAUUUUUGACUUUCUUUUGUCCCGGUCCAUGGUCUAAACGAGUCGCACAUACACCCUAGUACAUCUUCCUCGACGCUGAGGGCAUCCCCGAAGGGCGGGCGAUUUGGUGACAUUUCUGAUUGGCUGUCUUGUCUUUCUAAUAAGUUGUUUAAUAGUUGGCAUGUUGAAUUGUAUACAUAAUGAGUUGGUUUAGAUCAAUCCUAACCGGAUGAUUAUGAAUUACUUCUAGAUUCGAUAUUAAUAAUUAAUAUGAUUAAUAGUAAUCCGGUAAAAUUGUCAAAUCUCAAUUUCGGAUUUUUGCGAGCAAUACUUAUUAAACCGCUACAAGAUCAACAAUUCCAUGAGCUUGGGCUUCUGGUGCUGACAUAAAAACAUCUCUUUCCAGGUCUUCGGAUAUAACCCAUAAGGGUUUGCCUGUUCUUUGGACAUAAACCUUUGUGAUGGUUUCGCGCAGGUUCAGUAGUUCGGUCGAUUCCAGGACAAAUUCUCCCGUUUUUCCCUUAGAAAAAGAACUAGCAGGUUGAUGGAUCAUUACCCUGAUGAUUUCAUAAAUGGUUUUCUCUAUCUUACAUCAUUAUCAUGAUGAGUCAAAAAAAGAUAAUCAAAAAAAGAAAGAUAGGAUUAACAACCGUACAGGCAUCCUUUGUGCAGUGCAUACGGCUCCACAAUGGAAUGAAUUUUGACCUUCCAGCGAAGGAAUAGAAAAUAGAGGAUCUAGCAGACCCAGAGCAGUAAAUGAUCCAAUAACCACCCUUCCUUUUUUUGAGAAAUUUGGAAAAUACUAGGAUGGUUCCGUUGCUUUAUGAUUUCGUUUGUUAUUCAGCAAUCCCAAAGUUUCUUUUUUUUUUUCAAUUGAUUAAAAGUUUUCUAUCAAUGCUAUUUAGAAAUCGAAUAUAGUAGUAAUCAUAUCAUAGAUAGAUUCCAAAUUUCGUUUUUUCUAAGCGGAGCCUGGAUACUUCAUUUUAUUAGUACAACCGAGAAAACCAUAAAUUAUUCGAAUUUCUAAUAUCAAUCAGGAUACCCCCCCAAAAAAAUAGAUCUAAUUGCACUUCACGCUCCAAAUUUUUGAUGAUGAAAUCAAUCCGUCUUGGGCGAAAGAGAGGAUAUCUCGAUCGGGGGAGAGAACGGGGAAAUACCAUAUGACCCAAUAUAUCUGACAAGUCGCACUAUAGGUCAACCCACGAUGCAUCUUCUUCUCCGGGAAGUCGAAAGGGUACUUUUGGAACACCAACAGGCAUUAAAGCAAAGCAAAAAGAAGUAAGUAGUAUAGCUAACGUUAAUGUGGAAGCGUAACAACGGGUUUAUUGUCUUAAUAAAUAAGAUGGGCCUUUAUCAGAUUUUCUCUUUUCACAUAUUUUAUACAUAGAUUUCAUAAUAAUAAGUUCAUAAAAAAGGAAAACAGAAUUCAAUUAAUAAAAGAAACUUCUUCCCGAAUAGGUUUUUGAAUGAUGAACAAGUAUGUAUACAUUCAUUCAUAUAAAAUAGGAUCAAUUCCCAUCUACCAUUGCGUAUUGGUACUUAUCGAGUAUAGAAUAGAUCUGCUUCUUUUUGUUCCUACGAAUAGAAUCGAAUUGUUCCAUUAUUACUCAAAGAAUAGAAAAAAUCUGAAUCCUUUCGCCAAGAUAAUCCCCUCAAAGGGGGAGGUCCGUAGCAUAGUUUUUUUUUCAGUGCAAUAAAGUUAGAUAGUGUCUAUUUUUCCUUGAUAAAGGGGUAUUUCCAUGGGUUUGCCUUGGUAUCGUGUUCAUACCCUUGUAUUGAAUGAUCCCGGUCGUUUGCUUUCUGUUCAUAUAAUGCAUACAGCUCUAGUUGCUGGUUGGGCCGGUUCAAUGGCCCUAUACGAAUUAGCAGUUUUUGAUCCCUCUGAUCCUGUUCUUGAUCCAAUGUGGAGACAAGGUAUCUUCGUUAUACCCUUCAUGACUCGUUUAGGAAUAACCAAUGAAGGGGAGGUUGGAGUAUCACAGGAGGGACUAUAACUCAUCCGGGUAUUUGGAGUUACGAAGGUGUGGCCGGAGCACAUAUUGUGUUUUCUGGAUUGUGCUUCUUAGCAGCUAUCUGGCAUUGGGUGUAUUGGGAUCUAGAAAUAUUUUGUGAUGAACACCGAAGAUUUUUUUCAUUCAUUUAUUUCGGGUUGCUUUGGUUUUGGUGCAUUUCAUGUAACCGGAUUGUAUGGUCCUGGAAUAUGGGUAUCCGAUCCUUAUGGAUUAACCGGAAGGGUACAAGCUGUAAAUCCUGCGUGGGGUGUCUCAGGCUUUGAUCCUUUUGUUCCGGGCGGAAUAGCCUCUCAUCAUAUUGCAGCGGGUACAUUGGGCAUAUUAGCGGGCCUAUUCCAUCUUAGUCUUCGUCCGCCCCAACGUCUAUACAAAGGAUUACGUAUGGGAAAUAUUGAAACCGUCCUUUCCAGUAGUAUCGAUGCUGUCUUUUUUGCAGCUUUUGUAGUUGCUGAACCAUACCACAUAGUUCCAGCAACUACCCCGAUUUCAUUGAAUUAUUUGGGCCCACUCGCAAGAAAUAUCUCUUUUUUUGAGUGCCGGGUUAGCCGAAAAGAGAAGUUUCUCUGAAGAGUUAGCUCGGUAACAUCACUAGAAGAAGUCCUUUUCCCGGUAUUUGCAAUACUAUUUGACAGAAAAAAGGGUUGAUUGAAAGGAGCAAAGAAUAUUGCGAAGAUUUGAAGAAGACAUUUAAGCGGAAGCCUUGUUCAAAGAAUAUUGAAAGGUCUUCAACGAGAAGAGUUAAGAACAUUGUUAUCCCGGGAAUAGAGUUAAUAAGUUUGACCCUCAAUACACCCACAAGGUGGUAUUAUAGUACCCAAUGCUAUCGAGAAACUUAGCACCACGUGUCUACAUGAUGCAUAAGCUAAGAUUACGAUCAACCUCCUGGCCUUUCUUCCAUGGUUGGAAGAAUGCAUAGGCCGUGAAGAAGCCUUAAAACCCAGACCAGCCGUACGUAAUCGAGUCGAAAGACUUCUAUUACUCGGACCCGUGAGAUGAUAAUUGUACCAUCCCAUAGGUGUCCAAGCUUCAACGAUCUUCUUCACCGAAAUAGGUGAGACAUCAGUCAUCAAUCUAUUAAGACGGGAACCUCUUAGCAAUAGCAAAUUCCGCGGCACCUGUUGGGGAGUCUAAUGUAAUGACUUUCCGACCGAAAUGGAGACACCGCUCCGUGGGUCAGUAAGCAACUGAAUAUAGAAUGCCUUAACGACAGGGUCUGCGAUGACAACAUCGUCACCGCUCCGUGGGACCGCAUAGUUCUUAAAGACUGAACCUGGAUAUACAUGUUCUGCCGCAAUCCACACCACUUUGUGGUGAGAUAAGGCAAACAAAGGCCAAGAGGAAUAAUAGCCGAGAGGCUGCCCCGCCACAAAGGAUACACUCGUCCUUUUGCGCACAAAGGCAAGAUCAAAUAUGAGAGUUGCUAAUGCAGAGUUGACUACGCUAGAAGCGAAAGACCUCCCAAACAUCGACUGCAUAAGCUCAAAGAUGAUGAGAAGAGGCCACCGGUCGGUGGCGGACUUCAGAUCAACAGAAUGAACCGAUUCACACCUUUAAGUCUAUCAAGGGGUGCUCUGCAGAUGAAAGGUACCAUCCAUGGGUAUCCGUUUAAGCACUUCUGCAAGCCACUGAUGGACUGGGUGCAGCAACCGUUGAUUGAUAUAGUUACCGCUCCGUGGGGCAAAGAACCUUCUCUUUCCGUCUCCAGUUUCGGCGCAACACAGUUUUCCGGGUAUGGCCGGUGGUCAGGACUCGGGAGUAAAGGACCAAUCCGCGCUUCAAACCAGUCUAACUUUGGUUAUUCUGGUCAGGAUCAAAGGCAUACCGCUCCGUGGGUCAGGGUGGCCACAAAGAACCUUGUGAGAAUUGCUCUUCUCUACUAUGAACAAACGUCAUCAAAAUAGAAGCCAGUGAAUAAGGAAAUGAGUAAAAGAUGCUCUUCUUGGCGAUCGGUUUUAACGAUCUACCAGAAGCAUCUCCAUGUUUUCCAAGGAACUUUGUGUACCACGCUCCAGUAGGUACGGACUUCCAUCUUGGUCUGAACUCCAACCCUUGCUGCAUUGGUAUAGUGUUCAAAAAUGGGGGAUAAAGAUCAAGAAUUGGCUUAAUGUGCCACUUUAUCCACCAUCUAUUAAGAGUGGUUUGAAUCAAUUCGAGAUCGGCAGGGGUCACAAUGCUACUAAAAGUACUAGUGGUGCAAGCUGAAUAAGCUUGGACACAGAAAAUAACGACAUGUACAGUUUCAUAACAUUGGGAUCCCUCAAUAGCUUGUCUAUGAAAAGACGGGAUAAUUCUAGGAAUCCCACUCCUAGUUAAAGAGACGAAGACAGAUAGAUCAUAAGGGGUGGAAUCGUCUCCCACUACCCUCAUCAGCGAUGUUCUGCAUUGCUUUAAGUACAAAGCAAGAAACUGCCAUCCAGAUUUUCUCUGAAUCUGUCGACACUUUUGCCAGAACAAGUGUGUGGCUAUACACCAUUCCUUAGUAAUACCGUCAGUGAGUGAGAAAAUUCGUGUACUCAAGACUGAUUUUAUGACUCUCUCGUCUUCCAAGACUCUUCGCCAGGUGACUUUAACCUGAGGAGAAGAGCGAACAGAAAAGAAUUUCUUAUUCAUUAUGAACUUCCUCUCUUAACCUUUUGGUAAGUCGCCACUCGCCUUAACUGCGAGUUUGAGCGGGGGGAGGAGGAAGCCCUUAAUCCUCCCACCAGCGGAGAAGCGACCGGAAACGCGGACGAGAACACUCUUGGAGAUUGAUGAACAGAGUGUUUUAGCCACGGUCUGAAGUACUCCUAUGUAGGAGGGAGGAAAAGCCCUGGAGGUCAGUAUAAUGCCUCCCCCGGACGUACUCCUUAGAGGGGAAGCGGGAUACCUAAAGUCGCGAUAUAAAUAAAGGAAGUGAAAAGAAGGGCUUUCUGGCUAAUGAUAUAGAUGAUUUCAUCAGUUGACUGCUUUCUUACUCAUGCUUUCUGACUGUGGGAUGAUAAGAAAAGGGAAGUCCGAGUAUGAAGGAAUUCCCGGAGUAUAUAGUUGGUGGAAUAUGAAUAGCUAAGAUUCACUAAUGCCUUUUCUUUCUAUUGCUUUUUAGCAGAUGUAGCCGGAGCUUGGUUGAAGUGGAAUAAUAUUCCGGUCUAGUGAGCGUAUAUGCCUCCUUCGCCUCCGCCUUCUAGCCUUCUUAGCUUCGCUACCCCUGCCCUGUGGUACGUCAAGAGAAAGGCUUGGCCCAUAGGUUCAAGAAAGAAGAUUACCGCUACGUGGGCCAGUUGUGCCUUAAGCGAUUGCCAUUCCAGGUCGUAUGAUAAGAAGAGUCACCAUGAACCCCGGUAUGAUCUCUUGAGCGAGAACUCUAUGAGCGGGGGAAGGGAGAGGUUUCAUGAGUCACUUCCAGAGAGAAUGAGCGAAGCAGCCGGGUGCGGGAGUUCUUCCAUUAGAAGAAAGGGAAAGACAUUACAAUCACAAGAACUCUAUCCGGAAAGUAGGGUUAUGAACUCAAGACCCUAUUUUCUUAGGUUAGAAUAGGAUCGACCCUAGCUCUCCAGUAUCGGCUGAGAGGGACUAUAGUACUCUAAUCUAAGCAGAAUAGGGUAUUUCUAGAGUAGCAUCCAGAGUCAGUGGCUGUGUCAGAUCCGGAGUCAUAAGUAUCUCUUUCAGUUAGUCUUGAGUUAGAGAAAUAGGUUUCUGUCCCAUCAUAGCACUGCCUAUCCUUUCCUGUGGAGGCAUCAAAAUUCAAUUCUUCCAAAUAGUAGAGUAGGUUCUUAUCCAAGAAAAGUUAAGCUUGAUAAAGUCCUUCUAGUAAUAGGUUUCAUAGUCCUUCGGACAAGUCCUCCGGUUCAAAAAUAUGAUUCAUAGUCCUUCGCAAUAUUAGUGGAAUUAAUCAGUCCUUCGCCAUAUUAGUGGAAUACUUUUUCUUUUAACGCAAAGAAUAUUGCGAGUUGAAAAAAGGCCUACGGGUUCAAAGAAUAUUGACAAAGAAUUUGAGAUGCUACUAUUUGGAAUAAGACUAGUCUUCCGUGUGGGAGCGCAAAUAAAUCAGACUCAAGAGUCGGACCUACGGCAAGGUUAUCAUAUGGACAGUCCUUCGGACUUCGGACGGAGUGCAAAUCGAACUUCGGAGGACUGAGGAGCGGAGCUCUUUAGAUAAGAAAAAAGACACAGACGCAUACGACUCAAGAAAGAGGGAGAACAACUCCCACGUAGCGGUAAGAGACAGAGUCCGCUGCUCGACAGUUAAGGAUCGGAAGUUGCUUAGCUGUUCUUGUAGCAGUUGUCUUGUUCCAGGAGAAGUUGAAUAGGUUUCAUGAUAGAACUAUGAACUAAAAGAUUCCCCAUUAGUAUAUUCAUCACUCGUAUAAUCCCAAUGAGUCGGUGCUCAGCUGCUAUCGGUCCCACUCCGCGGUCUUCAUACGACUGUAUCAGAUAGGGGAGAAGGCACUGGACAACAAGAGGGGCCCAGUUGCGGCUCUCCCGUUAUUCGUUAUGAGGUCAGUUAAUUCAUACAAUCAGUCGAUGUUUCAUGAGUCACUCCACAAAAGGUAACUUCAAUCGUCCGCGCGAAGAGCAUAGUCACUCGAGGUUGAGGAAGAAACUCUCCCAGCCGGGCCGGAUUGACCGCGGAGUGGGUAGGUUAGGAAGCAAGGGUCUCCACCGUUUAGGGGGAUAUUCUUUCUGUCGUUGCUUUUCUUCUUUCAGUUGUUCUUGAUAAGAACUGGGACAACUCAAUAAUCUCUUAACUAAGGUUCAAAGAAUAUUGACCGAAAAAAGAGGACAAACUAGACAAGACGAGGCGCCUCAAGCUAGAUCUAAUAUUGAAUUGCCCCUUGCUUCUUACUGGAUUGAUUUUCUCCCACUUUCUUCUCUGAAAUACAGUUCUUUCUCUUUUAUCAAGGAUAGAAGCUUGAACCGGAGGCAAGGCUCAAAGACGCAAUAUUCUUUGCGCCUCCGUCAAAUAAGAAGCUGGAGGCUGGGUAAGGACGACUCAAAAGGAGCAGAAAGAUUCUCUCUCUGAAUUCUCACUCUCAAAGCAUGAAUCAAAGAUUCCCAACAAUCAAAGAAAUUGAAAAAGAAUAAGUUCAGAACUCUGAAUAUCGGUAGUUUAAGCUCCUUCUGCUGACUUGUUCUUAAUCUCAACCGUAGGCAAGGCACCUAGGGCAAGGUUUUGAUGAUUUGAAAAGAAGAUCAGAAGAAGACAAAGAAGACGACUCCAGAGGAGCGGCACUACAUAAGACUCCUACUACGGGGAGCGCAAACCAAAGGCAACAAAAAAAGCUUUACUAGAGGCGCAAAGACCAAAAAAUAGCCACUUUUUGAUUCUGGCUGGGAACGAACUUUUUGGUCGGCCAAUUAAAAGGAGACAGCUCUUCGUCUAUGGUGAAGCGAGCACGCAGAAAACGUUGAUGAUCAGUAUGUUGAAAAAGAGUGGUUUAAGAGUUGGACAAAGAAAAAAGGACUAUGCGGGAGCCCAUGAUUUCUUCGAUCUUUGGGUGAUUGAUGAGUGAAUGGAAGAUAAUUCGCAAAGCUUAUACGAGACAGAGCAGCGCAGCGCAUACAUGAAGGCGAUACUCACUCUACUUGAUGGCCAGGAAUCUAGGUUGGACGGAAAGUACGAAAGAAGGUUUCUAAAGAAGGCAAAUGUACCGAGAAUUUUGAUGAUUCCAUCUGCCUUCAAAAAUCUUUCCACUCCCAGGUGGAGUAAGCGAAUCAUGCCCGAGAGGUUCUACUCCAAAGGAAUUGGAAGGAGAAAGGGUUGCAGCUACUAUGUAUGGAUGCAUGUGUAGAAGAGCCGACUAUGAGUGCAUCCUGAGAAAUCCCAACCUGAAAUACUCUUCUCUCAAAGGGGUAGAAAUCAGGGUGAGCGACCCCGAGGGAAGCAUUUAUUCUCUCCUCGAGAUUGAGGGCGGGAAGGAAAGCCUCUUGCUUUUCUCGCGGGGAAGGAUUUCCCACGGAGUUCAAAAAGAAAGAAUGAAGGAAGAAAAAGAAGAAAAGACGAGAGAGGAGUGGGGAGUGCAGAGGCAAGGUGCAAAGAAUAUUGAGCAAAGCCUAUCCUUCGUAGCCUCAGAGAGUUAAGGAAGAAAGGUCAUCCUUGCACUCCUUCCCAGUCGCUUCGCUUCGCGCCUUCUACGCGGCUGGGCUGGGUUCUUUGACUUCUGUCUAUCUCGCCUAGGCCCAUCAUUCAAUUCUUUCUUUCCCCUAAGAAAGCGAAGAUUCCAACUUUCAUGAAGCAUAGGCCUCAUUCUCACAUCCCACAUGAAAAGAAGAAUCGGGUUCAGAGUUCAUACGACCGGAUAGUAUGAAAUAUCUUUAGCGCAAUCCAUCUGCCAAGCCUAGUCACGAGACCGUGAGGAAGAGGAGGUAGGAUUCGAUCUUGAAUCAGAGUGAAGAGUUAGCGAAGGCUUUGGAACUCCUUCUACCACCCCUAGGUAUUCUCUCUUUCAUUAUGAAGGUGCAAAGCUGCGAGAGCUAAAGGCGAGAGGUUAGACCCAGCUCUAUCUCCGCAGAAAGAGUAGCUGCGAGACGAGGCCUGAUUCUUCUUAUCGUAUCUGAUAUCUUGACUCGGGAUCCGAAGUCUAUUCUGUAUCGGAUCGGGAACCGAGUGACUCAUUAUCACUCUUAUUCAGUAAUGGAAUUCAGAACUCCUAACUCAAGACCCGGACCAAGUCUGAUUUUAGUACUUCUUCCUAUGGAUUUUCCCUUUUUCUUAGACUUUUCUACUGAUUUGACCAAGAAGAUUCCCGGUAAGUAAAUCAUCAUACCUCUUCUAGAAAAAAUGUGAACUGAACUUCCCGUGGAAGGGGAAGGACCCCUGUACUGUACCCGAUAAGUAGUAAAGAAGACAAAGAGAUCAUGAAAGAGAGAAUGAAGAGGCUUAGACCCUAACCCUGUACCCAAGACCAAGCAAAGAAAGAAGACCGUAGGGUACCGCGGAGUGGGCCAUGUAGCUUGCCUUGCCAUCUCAAUUGGACACCACAUAGAAUUAUAGAAAUAUAUAGUAGAUUCGUCAUCAUCACUAUUCUCUCUUUCAAAAGAGGGAGAAAGUAGGUCGACUGUAGGGGCAGGGGAAGAGUCAUAAAGGCCGGCCGAGUGCCAUAACCUUCUGUCUGAGUUUCGGGCUCGGAGCGAAGCUUCUUAGUUUACUCGGGAUCUACGCCUCAGUCUGAGUUCCGGAAUAAGGAAAGAAAGACCCUACUGUAAAGCAGCGAGAGCUAAAGCGAAAACUAAGAUAGAGGAAGAAGAAGCAAGGGAUAUCUUUUUUUCGGAUUCUGAGUGUUGAGGGGCAAAGAAUAUUGCGCUGUGAGAAUGAGUCACUGUAAUAGAGUCCGAUAGGCUUAUUCGUUAUAACUAGCUUUCUCAUAGCAGUUUCAUAGGUUUCUAGAGUCACUCCAUGAUCAAGAAUCAAGUCUUCUCUCUUAUCGAGUUUUCUAAGGAUCCCACUACGCGGGGAACCGGCCUUUUCUCAUUCAUCAGAUCUUGCGGCCGAGGUUAAGGCUUCUUAUCUGACGAAGGAUAAGUCGCUUCCCUUGUUCAUUGACUUUCAUGCCUUAUUCAUGAUAAGGCCUAAGGCGAGGCUGAUUUCUCUUUAUCCUUGUAAUAAUGAGGUAGCCGUUUUUCAUUCUCCCUUGCUACUGAGAGAGAUUACCUAGCCUCAAGCUAAGAUAGAAUAGGGGAGUCAGCCAGGGAAGGAAGAUCCUGAAUGGCACUCUGAUCGGGAGAGCCCUCAAGAGAUACGGAUGAAACUCUUUAGAUAUUAUGUAGCCCUUGAUCUUUCUUAUGAGAAUAGAAUAAUUGCUUGACUAAGCUGCAAGGGCACGGUCUUCAGCCGAUACAGAAAGCUAUAAACAAGUCCUCGCAAUAUUCUUUGCACCUCUCCAACUCUUAAAAGAAAGAAUCUUCCAGACCAUACUCAGAAGAUCGGAAAGAGGGGUCAGGGGGAAAAGUGCACAAUGAGAUGAUCUCAUUCAUCAAGAGAGUUUCUGGGUUUAUUCAAUGUGAACAAGGUUCCGAUUCCUCAUUCAAGGCAGAUGAGGCAUAUUCAAGAGAAACUGCGGGAGAAAACGACUCAAGAGGAGCGGUCAGCCCUAGUUAUAGCUUUCCCUCUUUUCCCUUGAUCUAGCUUAUUCGUAUUCAACGGGGAAUUUGAGAUCUCAUACCCUACGAGCGACUCUACAACUUGGACAUAAGCUCUGGCAGACAAGACAUAUAGUGCAGAAGAGCAGAAUCAUAGACAAGCAAGAUUUCACAUCCUUUCGCCUCUCCAACUAAUAGGGAGCUGCCUACUGCGCUUCCUUCUAACCUGGCCUUGAGAGAAGAGCGGCUUCCCCUGUAUUGGCUGGCGAAGAUGGUGGCAUGGUAGCGACGCCUUUGGGUUCUCCUAUACGGAGGAGGAAUGGGCAGGCGCGAGAUCAAGAGUUGAGGAUAGGAUCUCCUUCUUCAUCUUUCAAUUAUCUCAGGGAAUCCAGCUGCCAUUUACGAGGGGAAGAAGAAAAGCAAAUAAAGCAAGGAAGUAUAAAGGCUAAAGAGAAGAAAGAGAAAGCCUAUCAUGAAAGUUCAAAAGUCUUUUCUUCUAACAAAGGCGCAAAGAUCUAUGGCCCACUCCUCCUUCAGCAUAAUCUAUAAGAAGAUUUGCACUGGGGGAUAUUCUUGUUGAAGUUUUCAGUGAGAGAGAUUCCUCUCUUAUUAAGUCGAGGGGACUGUAGACCCGAGUUCUAGCGCCUCGUAUCGACUUCUUAGUUCGAGAUGGUGGGGACUUUUUCAGUGAGAAUGAAAAGCCUUAUAGAAAAGAAGGAACUCGUUUCUGAAAGGUGAGACCAGCGGGAGAGGAUAAAGGCACGCUCCCAAAGUCAGCCGAGGCACCAAACUCGACAAGAGGUUAGGCUUAGCCAAGCUGCUAUCUGGUUCGGGAUCUACGUUAUGAGGGAAUUGAAUGAAGCAGAAAGAUCGUGGUAAUUAGAAGACAUCUUUGAGAUUGCGUAAACUGGAGAAAGGGAGGCCACCGAAUAGAAAGUAGGUGGUCAUACGUCUCCCUGAGGCUGGUCUUUCCUUAUUUGACUUAGGACUAGAUGUGGUAUAACCCCCUGACCCACGGAGCGGUAAUGAGGCCGUCUUGUUCACGUGAGGGGCGGGAAAGGUAAGGAUCGCGGUUCAGUUAUCUCUUUCGGACACGUAUUAGGGCGUGAUCUUGUGUCGAAAGGCACUGUCAUAUUCUUGCACCUAGUAAGAAGAGGAUCUGGUCAUCAAAUAAACUUGCUGCUGGUUAAGAGUGGCAUCCGGAUUCAUACCAGGGCAAAAAAAAGGCGGAUUAGAACUCAUCGACCGCCUUGAUUCUCUUCGGACGCUGCUCGACAAGAGGCAGGCAGAGUUGGAUCGGCCGAAGAAUUAGUGGGACGCCCUCAAGCUAGAAGAAAGUAGGCAGCAUGAAAAUCAGUCUUCUUUCCGAUUCCGAUCUUGAGGAAAGUCCUUUUCUCGACUAACUGGUAAGGAGUGGAACGGCCAUCUAGCGAUCCGAAAAGCUAGGAGAUCAACUUCUCUUCCUACUUCAACGACUUAUGCUAGAGAAAGAACUGGAAGACCCACUUCUCUUACAAGAUCGAACCCUUCAUCCUCACUAGCCGCCCGCGAAAGGGAAAGAAGUCAGAUGACGAAGAUGAGUGGAAUCGAAUCUCAUUGAAUGGAUCCCGGAAUGGAAUCAGAUAGGACGGAAGGAUUUGAACCUCCUCUGAUAGCGGCCUUACCGCGCCCCAUGAAAGACAAUACCUCCUCUCCUUACAGUCGAGCCGCUUUCGCUCCUCUCCUUACAGUCGAGCCGCUUUCGCUCCUCUCCUUACAGUCGAGCCGCUUUCGCUCCUCUCCUUCGUCCCUUCGUUCGUUAGCAGCUUCUAACCUUGUAUCAGCAGAGUCAUGGAGACAGACUCCACCAAAAAAAGGAGUCUUGUAAGGGAUUCCAUUCUACCGCCUCAACUCAAUGAUGAAUUCAAUCUUCUUUGUAUAUUCCGUCGUUCUUUAUCAAGCUUAAUCUCUGGCAUGAAAUGUCCUGAAUGAACCCACCGUAAGCGUGAACCCCACGGAGCGGAAGAGAGGUCUCAGGCAAGUUGCCAAGCUGCUCUUUCUUUCUUUCUGCGCUUUUCUUGCUUAUGGAUGGUAUCGAUAUUAACCUCCCUAAUCGGCUUAAGGGAAUAGAAAUCCUUCAUUCAUUACGUCCGGUACAUUGAGAAAGUACGAAAAGUAGGGUUAUAAGUACCAAGCAGAAAGAAGAAAGCCUAGGAGUAGGAGGGAGGCAAAGAAUCAGACUCCAGAGAAGACCGCGUAGUGGGAAAACGUGGGAACCUACCCCCGGAGGUUAUGUAAUAGCGAGACCUGUCCGGAGGCGCAAAGAUCGUGGAUAAGUUCUUCCCGCGGAGUGCUUUCUUUAUUUCUCUCAACAAUAUCUCUGUCUUAUGGAGAGAGGUUCAAUUCAAUAUUCAUGAAUUCAGGCCUAUCCAUUAGAGAAUUUGACUUUGGAGGCCCAUAUGCGUGAGAAUGAAUUUGAGAGGCGCAAAGAAUAUUGCGACUUUCACCUUGUGCUUCAAAACUCUCCAAGAAAAAAGUCUAUUUAUGAGACUUUUUAAGCGGAAAUCAAUUUGACUGUGAUUUUCUAUUGAUUAGACAUCUUUUCUUGCCUUCCACCUAGGGCGAAAAGUGACUCAAAAAGAGAUUCUCCCUCUAAAAACAAGGAUAGAUAGAAGGAAUCCAUAAAAAAGUUGUAUAAGUUCUUUCAGUUUCGAUCAGAAGCGAGACCGGUCCGGAGGACUCCCAGAAAGUGCUCAAGAUUCUUAAUGAACCGGAGCGGAGGCAAGGUUUUUAUGAUUUACAAGACUAUGUAAAAGAUUAAGAUGCGAAGCGACUGAAUUAAUAAAGAAGAGAUAAUCUGUUAAGGAGCGCAAAGACGCAAUAUUCUUUGCGCCUUCGGAUCGGAAAAAAGUCUAAUCUUUCUCUGGGUCCUCCGUUUUAGAGUCCUACGGAUAAAUCCUCCGGACCUGUGGCACCUCUUAAGUCGCUUCGCUUCGGGCCUUCGUAGCUUAAUACAAUGAACAUCCAUAAAUAAAUAGGGGGUGUAGUGCCUGAAUUUCUUUCUUGUCCCCCAGUUUGAACAUGAAUGAAGAUGAGAUUUGACUUGAGCAAUAUUCUUUGCACCUCCUUCAUAGUCAUCUGGACCUUUCUUUUUGGCGUGGGAAUUGAACGAAGGCGCAAUUCAAUAUGCGUGAGAACCGAAAAUCUGAGAUAAUUCAGGCUUCGGACCGCUCCAGAAAAGAAAGAAUCUCAUCUUGACCUGAACUAAAAACCUAUCUUUAUAGAAGUCAUCGACCGCCUUGAUUUUAGCCUCUGGACCUCUUCAUUCUCGCAAUAUUCUUUGCGCCUUUAUCUUCUCUUUCUUCCUUUACCUCAAAAUCCUCUCUAUCCGACCUCUGCAUUCUCCAAAGACUUUAUUCAAAGAUUUCUUUCGAUAUAUCCUUUGAAUUACUCAACUAUAUCCUAUGAAUUUCAUUUCGCACCGGAAACUAUUAUCGGAGAAGUUCGAAUCCGUUUCGUUCGGAUAUUGAUCGGUCUUGCUUUGACAUGGUUUACGCGUUACUGGUUCCCGGAAGAGUUAAUAUCUCCAUUAGCUAAACCCUUUCUUACCCUGCCUUUGGACUCGUAUUUUGUUUGUACACAAUCAACGGAGGCCUUCCCGACAUAUCUUGCAAUGUCUUCAAUAGCAUGCUCUUACUUCGUCUUUCCCUUAAUAAGUCAUCAAAUUUGGUGCUUUUUGAUCCCCAGUUGCUAUGGAGAACAAAGGACGAAAUACAAUCUCUUCCUCUAUUUAAGUGGUUCUCGCUUCUCCUUAUUCCUCUUCCUAAGUCUUCCCCGGGUAGUUCCCAAUGUUUGGCACUUUCCAUACUUCGUGGGUGCAACAUCAACAAAUUCGCUCAUGAUCAAGUUACAACCUAAGAUCUAUGACCAUAUUAUGUUAACAGUUCGUAUUUCGUUCAUUCUAUCGGUAUGCUCCCAGGUACCUGUAAUUGUGAUCCGUUUGCCAGAACUAAGGGGUCUUUCUGUGGAAACCUUCACGAACAAUCGUCGUUUUUUGAUGGUUUUUCCGCUUUUCACAGCUGCUCUUUCCACACCUCCGGAUAUCUGGUGCCAAAUCGUCGCCCCUUUCCUUAUUUCUUUGAUGAUGGAGUUGGCUAUCUUUGUGGCAUCGAUUGUACAAGUUCGUUCAGAGGGCUGGACGAGUGGAAUGAGGUGGCUAUUUUUUUCCAUUAAUCAGUCCUCCGCCUAGAAAUUCACUUUGCGACUGAGGACGGCUCGAUCGAGAAAAAAGAAGAGGGGAACCUGGCAAAGUCAAAUCAAUAGAUUUCAGAGCAAUUAUCCACCAACAUAUGCUCUUCAUUCCCGUAAAGAUGAUAAGAGAGAGAGGACUCCUCCUUACCGCUACGUGGGGAGCGGGAUAAACAUCCCCCCCUAAAGCGCCGGUGAAGAAGGCGAGCAAGCAAAGCAGGAGCUCGGGCAUUCUUAUAUUCCAUCAAGAGAAAGGAGGCAGACUGUCAAUGAAAAGUAUCGCGAAAAGCUCAGCUUUGCGGAACGGACCACUCUCAAAUUCUUUGAGCCUUACUCUCUCUCUAGAAAAAAAGCCUGCGGGAAGCGCGAAGAGCUAAGCCACUAAUGUCGUGGCGAAGGUUAUACCUCAGAAAGUCAGCGAAGCCCACGUAGCGGUUGAGUAUGUCUUUCUUAUAUCCUUGAGAUCGAGCGAGAACUUCUAAGGAAGGCCUGAAUUCCCCUUUUCAAUCAGUAAAAAAAAGCGAGACUAAAAGAAGUUGCGCUUUCUUGAUUCUUAGUGCGAUCUAUUUUUGCCUAUGGGUUGGUCCUUCUAGAUCUCAUGGAAUAAGGCUUUGAACUCAAACGUUCAGCUAGCCCUAAAAAGAAGGCUACUCCUACCUGCUUUCAUAGAAAAAAAGAAUUGUGGAGAUUCAAUCCUCAUUACAUUACCGCAGGCCAAAAUUGGAUUUCUCAGAGCUCGAAAAAAAGAUGAUGAACAAAAUUCCCCGUCCUCCGUCGCAGGUUAAUAUGGGGAUAGUCCUUCGGACCUGUGACGCCUUCGGACCUGUCUUAUGGCACCGCGGAGUGGGCGCAAUAUUCUUUGCUUUCUCAAAUUGCAUUGAGCCUGAUUUUUCUUCUUCGCGCCUCCUACAAUAUCCCUGUCUUAUGGAGCCGGAGGACGGACCAAAAAAUAGGCGAAGCGAAUACUCGUGCAAGUGCAGAGGACAACAAGGAUUUAGUGGACGAGGUCCAACAACAACAAUCUAGUGGUUUUCUAUUAAAGGAAUAAAAAGAUAUCGGAAGAAGUACAUUGUUAUUGGAUCCGACCUAUCCACUUAACGACUAUCCACUAGAGAAGAAAUAAGCACACACCACCGCUCCGUGGGCAUUGCAUGCAUUUGCAUCUUGCAUAUAGUCCCGAAAUAGGAAAACCCGGUGGGAAGGAAGUAUUGCUUGCUACGGUCCAGGGAGCCGAGUCAGUCAUACCAUCCCCAAAACCCACCACCUGCAGCCGAGAGGGUAUACCAAAGUGGGAGUGCAUAGUACCGCUUGACCAGUCCUACGUCCUAGGGAUGAAGGGCUGGGAGGUCUAUUUUGAAGCCCCCAUUGCAGUGGGAACCUUAACUUGUCCUACUAGAGCUUAAAUUCAAUCAUGUAGUGGCCAUAGAACUACUUCACACCCAACCCAGUAGGAUGGACCUGAGCACUAAGCAAGACUUUUUUUAUAGGUUCUUUUUCUUUUUCACUUCAUUCCCCAUCCCGCAAGAAAGUUCCCCUUGAACCGUCCUGGGUCCGCCCAUCUCGCCGACUGGUUCGUGUAGCAGAAGUUAGACCCCCUUUUUCAGAAUCUCCCAUUGUAGCUACUAUGUCAGAUGAACCCGAAAUCCCGGUUCCGCCUGAACCAACCACUUUCGACAUUCUCAAGGCUGGCCCAAAAGGAAAGCUUUCACCGGGCCAUCAAUAAGUCAGCUCCUUCUAUCUACUGCACCUCAAGGACCUCCGGUUCAGGUCUUUGAUGAUUGUGACCAAUAUGCCUCAGACUCUCCCGACCCAGGACAGCCUUUUGAAUUUCACAGGCCACAGCCAGUCCUUCCUUCCCCUAAAGCCAGAACUGAAAUGGAAAAAUGGUUGAAAGAACAAGGCUCGAUGAAAUUGAGGAGGAAGAGUUUCAGAAAGUAAAGGGUCGUCAGACCAUGGGCUCAAGAUGAAGGGAUUUCCCAUUUUUCCUCUGGUUGAAUCUCCGUUCGACGAUGCCUGAGAUAGACAAAUAGGAUGGAACUGGCUGUCCUAAGACGCAUCUGCUGCUCUUUUUCUCAAAUGUAGGUUCUAUGAGGCUCACUCAAGAUGGCCAAAAUCUUUCCUAGAAUUCUUAGUGGGGCCACUGGGGUUCACACAGAUUGACAAAUCUACCCUGGAUGACAUCGCCAAUGUUGAAAGAAUAGCAAAUUCUAAGACCCCGAUUAAAGUAAGCAGAAGAGGCGCAAUUCCAUAUGCGACCAAAUUCAAGAUGAACGGAUUUCCUGGCUGUCAGACCAAAAGAAGAAAGCCUACCCCCAGAAAAGGAAAAAGAGAUGAUAAUGAUCAAUAAGAUGAGUAGGCAAUACCAUUACUAUAGAGAUUUCCAAGGGAUGAUUACUUAUGACUCUUUGAUUGAAGCGGCCACUCGUAUUUCAGAUGCUAUCUACAAUGGGACUCAUGGAUCACAGGUCAAAGAGGCAGAUCCAAAAGAAGAUAGCCGGGAACAAGCAAGAAGAGUUCAGUCAAUGUCUUGUCUGACGUAAAGCCAAAGACACCCAGGACUUUCACUCCCUUUUUCAGAACUCUCGCCGCGCCUUGGAAAAGCUGAAAAAGCAUGGUGUACUCACGCCUCUUCGCCCAUCUCCGCCACCAGAUCCGAUUCCCUCACUCAAUCUGACUCUGGAAGUUAUGCUGCCGAAGGAGAAUACUGAGAAAAAGCAAAUUCGGGGAAAGCUGACUCUUAGAGUUCCCUUUCUGCUUCUGAAAAAAUUGGGAAUUCCCUUGCUCCCUCAACUGGAAGAACCGACAGCUACUUCUUGUCGAGCUACUUUGUUCCACUCUCAAUUCAUUCAGCCUUCUCCUUAAUAAUUCCGGGGUUAGCUGUAGCUGGCCAUGUACCCUCUUUCAGUAUUGGGUGCCUUCUUUCCUGAGACUGAGAAUUCCGAUAAAGAGAUUCUCACUUAGUCGUAUCCAUAUUAAUAAUAGCUUUCUUCAGAAUUCCGACACAGAAAGAACAAAAGCUACUGCCACUUCCUCAACCGAUGAAGACCCAUCCAGUCAAUCCGGGAAAGAAGCUGUAGACCUAGGGUUAGCCGUUGAGAUCCUAAUUAAUAUAGUGAUUGCUUUCCCGCUAGUCCUGGGGAGCAUCUAUCCUAUCCUUUCCAGGUUCAACUGAGAAUGACCUUUCAGAUUCAAGAUCUAAUUACCUUGAUUCCGGAAGUCUGAUUGAUUCUUGAUGAGGCUUCGGAUUCAAUCUUCUUUUCACCUUUAUUACCUAGCUUACUCGAACUAAGUCCCAAUCCUCUUUUCCCAAAGUCAGUAGAAAAAUAAUCAAAGCAGAUCGAAUUGACAAGCCAAUGUACCGAAUCGCUGGAUCCGUUGAUAUUGAAUAGAUUCUUAUUAUCGACUCUUUCGGAGUGAAAAAGAGAAAAAAGACUGCAAAGGAAGAACCUACUAAAAGGACCUACGGUUGGUGCCUUGCCUCCAGUUCCUUUUAGUAGCUUUAGAUUCCUGUCGAGUUGAGUAAAAAACUAUCUUCUUUUUCAGGUAUUACUAGAUCAGAUAUAGAUAUUCUAAGAAAAGAACUCACUCUUCUUCGGAAAGGGGAGAAGAAAGGAGCUUUCUUUCAUAGUAGGGUUCACGAAGUCGAGAAAAAGGGCUUGACCCCCACGGAGCGGGAAAGGGGAAAAAGGCAUGUCAAACCCGCAGGUCGGAUUAUCGGAUGAAUAGUGGCACGGGUCGGCAUGGCAUCAGUUGUGAAGAUCAGCCUGAGCCACCUAGGGGAAUGAAGUUGAAGAAGUGGCGCACGUCCCCGUUGGUGUGGUUCUUGCUUGAUUUCAAAGCAAUUCUUUCUCAGAUUGUAUGAACGAGAAGAGAAGAAAUGGAUGAAAUAUCGUAACCAGCAACCGAGACUGGUGGGCGGCGCCUCUGCCUCCAAAGGCGGGUUAGGCUUCAACUUCUACUUCAACAGAAAGAGAGGGAAGAAAUCCUGCAACUUCAGCCGAUACUUCUGCUGGCACAACGACUGAUACUAGGCGGCUACUUCCGCUGAUCUCACAACGUCAGCCUCUGCUUCAACGGUUCUGAUCCCUAGUGAAGGGGCAAACUCAGACGCACGCUGCGACUCCCAAUUUAUGACUUUCCGUUGUUUAGGAAGGAAUCCGAGACUGGUAGAUCUUAUCACCGCUACGUGGGGAGCGCAAAACGUCAAGGGGUAUAUCUAGGUCUCGAUCACGUGGUUGAGGAGGCAGAAUAAGCCGAUGCUUCAGACGUCUCUCUUCUUCGAUCAGCACCACGUAGUGGGUCACGCCCCAAGGCCAAUAGAAGGCCUUUUAACGAGAAAGAAUGGGAUUAACAUUGACAUGUUUAAGUAAAAAAAACAAUGAAGAAGCCACGCGUCAGGCCAAUGCAUGAAUCAGGCAUGAGCAUACCGAAUCAGCAAGGACGGCUUCUACCGCCGCAGCUACAACAACCUUUCAUCCUAAACCUCCUCAAAUUCUUUGAGCCUCAACCGUUCGCUAAUCAGUCUGAGGAAUGCUAGUGGAGACAGGACGGGAGGGUAGUAGUAUGUAUGGUCGUACCGCGUAGUGGGCAUUCGUAUUUCAAGCAGUUAGGUUCUGCGCAAGUAACCCGACGGCGAGCUGCCUAAUCCAUCCUCAACCGCGUAGUGGGAGAAUUAACAGAGAAUGAAAGAGAGAAGAAUUUCUGAAAGAUUCCCGCGAAUGGCGAAAGAAAUAAGAAGAAAACAUCAGAUAUAAUGAGAAUGCAAUAAUCAGCUUAUAAUCAGAAAACCCACUGAAAAUGAAAAGCAGAGGACUAGGAGUCCGUAGUAGGACGUAGGAGUUCGAUUUGCGCUCCUUAACUGAAAGGACGUAGUAGGACUCCCGUAGUAGGCUGAAUGAAUAUGAGUUCCCGUAGGUUCUGCUGUAAGGCCUCCGGUUCCUUUAAGUAGGUUUAGUAGGUUCGUAGGUAUGUUGCCGCUCCGGUCCGAAGUAGCUUAAUUAGUAGGAGAUUCUUUUCAGUAGGUAAGUAGCAUUAUAUUAAGCUACGUAGGACGCGUAGUAGGCACGGAAUCAGACGUAGUAGGAGCGGUAAGACUCUUACAAACAUUACUAUGCCUUCUACGGACUCAAAAGGAGAGGUUUGAUUCCACUUUUCUUUUCAAAGACAUUCUUAGCAAAUAGAGUCCAAAACAAGGACCUACGGGACCCAAAAGUCAUAAAAAAGAGAUUUCCCCUUAGGUUCCAAUGCAAAACAAGGCGAAUUGGGGAGUUCAAAGAUUUGCCGAUGGAGGAUAUGCUGACGCCUAACUCGUUGAUGUAAGCGUCCUUGUGUCGGAAAUGAGAACGUCAUCGCCAAGGACCGCGUAGCGUCAGAGGUCAAUCUUCUACCACCAGGGUUUCUUGGUCCUCCUCGGUCCCCUUCAGACCGUGCCGCAGCUCUUUCAGCUUUAGUAGUUGUUCUGAGAUCGGAUCGAGGGUAGGGAAUUGCUCCUUAUAGAGCUAAAUACAGGCUGAUUUUUCUCUUCAUCCUCUUAAUGUCAAGUCUUUUCAUUGCCCCAUGCAGCCUUUCAUUUCCAUUCUGAUCUUGGGAAUGAAUUCGGUAAGGAAGUACGAUUAGCGGAAGGCCUAGAAGCGCAAGACUAUAGGACUUCCCCUAUCAGGCUUUCUGAUCGAUCGUCAGAAGUAUAUCUGUUGGCAGCACGUAAACGAGUUUCACGAGCCGUUGAAUGAGUCGGCUGGAAGUUGAGCAUUAAUGAAUUACGUUUUCCCUAGGCAAACUUCUUCCUUUGGACCUCUUUAUUCCAUUAACUUCAUAGCUCAGAUAACUGGGAAAUGACUUUCCCAAGUGGUCGAAACCCCCCACCCCAGUAUCGAAUUGACUCUGAAGCUAGGGAUUGACCGCGUAGUGGGUUAGGAAGGGUCAAAGAAAGCCGCUGCUCAACGAAGCCCAGGCCCCACCCAGGCGUCAGAGAGGAAGCGAACCCCACCUCUUUCCGGUGCUGGAUUAGGCCUCGUUGUUGUACCUGCUGUUGGAGUAGCUUGACUAGCGAUUCUUUGAUAUAUGGAUUAUUCGGCUUCAGCCGGGUCUGUCGCAGCCGAGGUUGAAGAAUAUAGGGUGAGGGCAUCGAUCCUAAGCCAACUCGGCCCGGCCGGUAUAUGAAUACCUAUCCAACUGGGUAUUCGGUAUAUUGAGCACCUUUCCAGGAGAUGAGUAGUCAUCCUAUACUAAAUCCUAAACUUAUCAUGACCCUUCUCUUUUCGAUCUGGCCCUAGUGCUAGCUUUCCCUUUUGCUUUGAGUACUUCUUCCUGUGCUCCGAAUCGUCCGAAGGACUCAUUUCCUUGCCGUAGGUGGUCUUCCGAAUCGUCUAAUAUGUCCUUAUCAAUGAGUCUGAAGACUCUGAAAACCGGAGGAGUAGUCUUCUUCCAUUGAAUCCAUAUCCGGAGAAGAAACCUCUUUGGUUGAGAAACUUAGUCCCACUUGUCCCGUUAUUUCCCUUUUGAAAGAGCUCCUUUUAUGGUGGUCAAGUUCGCUCCUUUCCCUUAUGUACGGUCAAGUGUAUGGGAAAGCUGCCUUCGCUCCUUUCCUUUCUCUCGUCAAACUCGAUAAAGCCACUUCGCUCCUUCCUUGUAAAUGAGAGGUCUUAAGUCAACUUGAUUACACGCUUUUCCGUGCUUUCUUUUUCUUGAAUCUCAGAGUUCAAGCUCAGCUAGGGUCCGAAGGACUUGUUUAUGGAACUGAAGCUUUGAAAGAGGAGAGAAAGAGAUUUUCUUUGAAAGAAGAAAAGCAACUCCAACAGCCUCAUCUCCAGCAACGAGAACAAAAACAACGACUUCCCAUGAAAGACAGCGGACUAGAGCGAGCGAAUACUAAACCCUUUCUUAUCUGACUGUGCCUGCUUACUGUGCUGGUCGAGCUUGUGCCGACUUUCUUCCUCGUCCCUCUUCUGUUGGGGCAGGGCGAAUACGGCCAAUAGGGUGUGAAGCUGCCCACUACGCGGUGGUUACAGGGGGAAGCAAACUCACCCUUCCACGAUCCCGACUAAAUAAAAAGGAAGAGGUUCUCUCGUUGAAGAAUCGGAACCGCUGUUCAAGAUUGCACAGUUCGAUAUAUGUUUAGGGAGAAAAGGGCAGCAAGAUCUUCACUGCUUAUUUACGAUAAUCUUUUUUCCUUCCUUAUUUUCCAAUAGGGACUCGGGACUCCUAAUCCUAGGCCUUGAUUCCAUUCCCCUUGGAGGAGAGGGAAAUAGGGACUAGAUCCCAGGGACAGGAUAAUCAGGACCUCCUUCUUCUUAGCAAAUGCUCCGAAUCUAGUAAUAUGGAAAGAAAAAGACUACUCCUACGGUUUUCAGAGUCCUUCGGUCUUCAGACUCCGACCGACUAAUUAAGCUACGGAGGACGAGUUUCCAUAUUAGCUUUCUUCAAUGACAUUGGAUUGAAACUCUUUUUCUUUUUUGAGGUAGCUUCUUCAAUUUCCUACAAAGAAUGUGAAGGACCGGUCGGUGGGGUUGAAUACCCUGGGUUUCACCUACGAGAAGGGAGCCCACGUAGGGGGAAAGAGAAGGAUGAAUGAAAGAGAUCAUUCGAUCCCGUUCGAACUUUCAAGAAUGAAGAAGUCAGAAAAAGAGAUAACUUGAACCUUUCACUUUUUACAAUGAACUCGGAAGAAAAAGAAGAGCAAGUUCUGUCAUUUCUUUCAUUCAUUCAAGUACAAUAGCCCUUUCGAGCAAUAUUCUUUGCACCUUUCAGAGUAUUGAGCGCUUAGAGCUCCCUUCACUGAUGGGUGGAGACAACUAGUAUUCUGGUCUCUGAAAAGUACUAUUCCGUAGAAUAGAGUGUAUUCGUUCAGCCUUCGCAAGGAUUCCCAUAUCUCUUUUGCCGAUCGAGACUCCCGCAUCGAAACCAGACUUUAGGAUUAGGAUUCCUCGAAAGAAGGGCGAGCGCUGGGCUUUGAGUGAUAUCAAGACUCUCGAAAAUUGAAUUCAGCCUCCUAACCCCGUGAAUUUUGAAUCUUUCUUUUGAUUUGGAAGAGGUACCCUUCAGAGUCGAUUCAACUAUAGCAAGCUUAUUCAAGGAUUCCCAUAGGAAGACUCGUUCGCUUUAAAGCACUUAAAGGAAGGAAGGCAAUUCAAAGAAUAGGAAAGAAGCGGGCACGGUAGAUCCGCUCAUCCUGGCUUCAAAUCCUAGCUUGAGUUGCCACGGGAACCGCGUAGUGGGCUGAAGUUAGGGAGAAUGCACAAUCACAAUUGACUAGGGCCUAUGCGGAAUGGAAUCAUGUCAAAUCGGCGUUAUGAAUCAUAAAGGUAACUCAAAGGGGAAUCAAGGGGCUCAAUAGGCUCUGUCUUUCGGCCGAGUCUCGGGGGAGUAUUUGGACCGUGAACAGAGGGUCAAAGAAUAUUGACUGGAGUUCACUUAGGGGAACAUCUCUUUUUUGAGUAUUAUCUCUUGCAGUAGCUCUUCGUGUUGACUACCACCAGUGCUUGUUUAAGCUGUAGCCCUUUUGGCUUGAGGUGCGAAUGAAGAUGUUGGAAGUCGCUUUCUUUCAAAGCUCUUAUUCUUUGAAUGAAUCUAGGAUGAACAAGUAGGAUGAAUAAGAGAAAUCCGUACAAGAAGGAAGGGACAAAGGCCCCAGGCACGAGGCAUCAUCGUAUAAUAGAAAAGGGACAAAGUCCCACCAUAAGGACGCCCCACCCGCGUAGUGGGAAGAGGCGCCCACUCGACUAAGCUAAGAAGGAGAGGCCUAGAGGAAGACUUUUGACGGUAAAGAAGAAAAUGGACUCAGGAGGCAAGGAGAAUCCAAUACACACUCUCAAAAGGAGGGAUCUCCUAGGCUUUACUUGGACGUCCCAGUACUUCUGCUUUCAGUUCUUCUUGUGGCUGUAUUAAAUUAAAGAAGAAGGAUCUCUUUCGACUUCUAAGUAUGAAGCAGCUUUUGCUUGACCGAGGUGUUCACGAAGCAAGAUCCCUUUCAUUAUCUGAAGUUGACUAGGGCCCACGGAGCGGGAAUACCGGUACCCCCAAGGGAAAGAUCUCACUCAGUCCAGGAGGAAGAGGCAUAGUUUAGUGUUGAGGUUUGUUCAUUCUUGACAUAUUUCAUUCAUCUGCAGAAGUAGAAAAGCAGAAGUAGACAAAAGAAAUAAUGGGAUCACUCGCAGGAAGAAAAGAAGGUUGGCGGGAGGUCUGAAAUUGAGGCCUUUCCUUUCGAACUCACCCAUGCGUGGCGAAUGAGAUAAUCGGCGGCUCAUUUACUGGGCGAAAGAUGUCUUUCUACCCUUGAAUCUCGUUCAAAGCAUUUUGUCGUAGAAAGACGAUGAUCGGACAAGAAAAGCUACUUUAUCUCCUUCAACCAUUUAUGCAAGAGCCACUUUCUAUUCCACUGGGCGGGUGUCUCGCAUUUCAUGGGGGUUCCUCCUCUAGAUUUUAUGGAUUCUGUCUCGCUACUCACUUCCCUUCCUUUAGCGUGUCCAGCCUGUAGACCUCGUUUUGGGAAGGGGCGGUUCUCAUUCUCUUACCAGGAGAUUCAACCUAUAAAAGGCUCAAAGAAUAUUGAGAGUGCAAAAUAAUGGAUUUCUAGUCUGGAAAAAAGGCCUACUUUUCUGGUUCAUUCAUUAUCUCAAGAAUUAUCGAAGAAGAAUUGAAUUUUGAUCUUUGAUUUAGUGGAAUUAAUGGAAAGCCUAUCCAAGAUCAUCCCCAUAUUCAUUAGGCGAAGGACUCUGAAAUCGGACAGGUCUCGCUAUGGAAUAACCUUGCCUCCGGUCCCUGGGAAAGAGAAUAGCCAUUUUGCACUUUUGGCUAUCCUUUUCUUUAUAUAAAGCAGCAAGAUAUAGGGUUGAGUCAAAAAAGGACUAUUAUCAUAAUCUAAUCCAGAGAAAAUGGAAGACUGAGCUCGACCCUUAAAGGUAAAAAAGGUUUGGUCCUUCGGACAGGUUUUGUCAAUAUUCUUUUCACUCAUUGACUCGUCUGAAGUUCAUUCAGAAAAAUCAAGCUAAGAGUCCUCCGGACUAUCUAUCCAUAUUAACCUAGCCUUCGGACCAGUCAGAAGUCAGAAAUCCAUAUUCACUUCUUGGACUUAUUUAUUCCAUUCAUUUUCUUCCUUAACUUACUUGCUGCUUAUUCUGUUAGGUCUUCUAUUCAAUUGAAUAAGAGUCACUGAACUCGGGGAAAGGGUUUCAGGUGGAAAGAGUACAAGUCUUUCAGCCGUGGGUUGGUCUACAACCUCUGACGCUCGAGCGUGAACGAUCUUGGUCUUGGGUCGAGCGUACGUCUUCUUUCCUUUCUGCCUCUGCGCUUAUUGCUUCCCCUCGUGGGAGAGUUUAGUGCCUGCCUUCUUUCUACCUUUUCUUGUCCCGCUUAGUUUCACUUAAAUAGGAAGGGGUCUUUCUUCGAUCUUUCCCUAAUAGUCAGAUUCAGGUCUACAUAGUCAGACUGAGUUUCAUGAGUCAGAUUCAAUAGCUGGAUUCGGGAUUCACUCCCAACUGGCAUUGAAUUCGGUCGGAAGGGGGAACUCAUUUGAUUAGGGUAGCUUGAAGGAGACGGUCUCGGAUAUGCUUUCCCUAGUUUAGAGGUUAGAACUAGAAGAAUAGGUUUCAUUCUCAAAGACUGAUUCCCUUCAUUCAUCACAGUUCCAAGGGAAUGAAUUGAAUAAGAGUUCGAGUCGGAUCGAUAAGAAGAAGAAGAAAUCCCGUACGGGAACAAGAGGUAACGAAUUCUCAUGAGCCCGCUGCCGCUCCAACCAGUAAAGAAGAGAUCCAUGCUACAGAAGUGCUUUCAUUCGUAUCACGCUUUUUCCUGUGAUAAUGGAAGUUGCCGAAUCCAUCCCCAAAGAGUCUUCUUUCUUUCUACAUCACAUAAAUAGACAUCUUUCGACCAGUCACCUGGACCUUUCUUUCAAGAUUUGUGGCCCCACUCCUAGGUUAGGCCGACGGAGAUCGUUAGGAGAUACCCGAUCUGAUCGAACCGCUACGUGGGCGAGAGCAUCUUCAAGAGACCGCCGGUCCUAUGCCUCCACGGGGACAGAGUCUGAUGAAAGGGCAACUGAGACUGGUCCCUUCCCCACAGGAGAAUUUGCACGUCAAUAUUCUUUGACCCUCGUCACUUUGAAAGUCAAAUCCCUCUCCCUACGGUCUCGCUAUUUCAUCCCUCUCCCUCUACACCGCUACGUGGGAAGUCUCGUAUUCUAGCUUGCUUCUAGAACUCGGAAAGAUAUCAUACUAACAGAUAACCCCUACUUUCUCCUCUCCUUAUGUGACUAAUACAGUGGCUCAGUCUACAGCGUAUCAUCUUUCAGGGGAAAAGUGGAAUGGCAAUAACUAUUUCUCAUGGUCUCAGUCAGUGAAGAUGGUCCUUGAAGGACGGCAUAAAUUUUCCUUUCUGACAGGGGAAAUACCUCGCCCUCCACCGGGCGACCCACAGGAACGAUACUGGAAGGCAGAGGACUCUAUUCUUCGAUCCAUAUUGAUCAAGAGUAUGGAACCCCAGAUUGGCAAGCCCUUACUCUUUGCUGCAACAGCCAAAGAUAUUUGGGACACGGCCCAGACACUUUACUCCAAACGUCAGAAUGCCUCUCGCCUAUACACGCUGAGGAAGCAGGUUCAUGAAUGCAAGCAAGGAAGCAUGGAUGUCACAUCCUUUUUUAAUAAGCUUUCUCUUAUCUGGCAGGAAAUGGACCUAUGCAGAGAACUAGUCUGGAGUCAUCCCAGUGAUGGUUUGCAGUACUCUAGAAUUUCAGAGAUUGACAGUUUCUUGCUGGUCUUAAUCCUAAGUUUGAUGUAGUUCGAGGGCGUAUGUGAGUGAGUCUGCUGGACCUUCUCAACCACCUGAUUCACACGGGAACCAGAUCGAUCCCAGUCCCGCUACUUUAGGUGCCAUUGUCCAAUCAGGUAUACCUCAGUCCUUCGGUCUUAUUAGUGUUGAUGGGAAGAACCCCUGGAUUCUGGAUUCUGGCGCCACGGAAAACUUUUUCGCAAAUUCUUUGCUCCUAGCGUCUGCUAGAAAAUAUGCUGAAUACUUGCGCUCCUUUCUUCUUUUCUUAGAUAAAUGCGCCUCAAAUUCUUGGAGCCUCUCCCUAUGGUCGUCCGGAGGUUCUUCCUUCCAUAUGGAUGGUCCUACGGAUAAAUCACCUGGACCUUUCUUUGGCCCUGCGGACUGCGGACCCUGGACCUUUCUUUGGCACUGCGGACGUAGGACGUAGGACUGGAAGGAGCGAAGCAAAGAGCGCGAGACUAGAGAGGAGCCCUUAUAUUAUGAAAUUCAAUAACUCGACUCCAAACAAAAGGAGAGGUUCAAAGCUCAUUGAAUAAAGACUUAUUCUUCCAAUGUGAAGGAGUGCAUUAUGUGCAAAUGGUGUUUAUGAGUCCUCCGGACGACUCAAAACAUAAAGGAUCAAAGAAUGAAAGAAGAAUUUGAAAGCGAAAGUAAUUAUCCUUCAAAGGAGUGCAACGAAAGAAAUCCAUAUUAACAUUAGGCCGGUCGACUCAUAGGUUGAAAGAGUGGGUGGUGCUCCGUCUUUAUGAUUCGGCUUUUUAUGCCUCCGCUCAAGACUCACACUCCUUGGCGAACUGGAACGGAGUUGGAAAAGUCAAAAGCCUUUCUUUAUCUGUCCUCCGGACUAUCCAUAUUCAGGAGCGGAAUCAAGAAUAGACCCGUCAGUAUCCGGACCAUAAACUCAAACUAGAACUGAUCCAUGUGAAUUUCUGGGAUAGGCUUGAUUCUUUCAUUGCGUUUUCCCGGCUUUUUUGCUUCUAAAUAGGACUAAAUCAAAGAUUGAUAUUUAACGAAAAUUGUCGAAAAAAGAAGGAAUUUUCAUGAUUUCUUGCUACUUUAUAGGCCCAAAACCUAGCAAAAUCUUGUAUUUCCCUCCGCGGAUUCAUCUUCAAUCUAGCUCUGAAAUCUAGCAGAUUCAUAAUGAUUCUUUCAUUCUCGUUAUUCAAUCAGAAUUCUUCUUUCAUUAUCGUUAAUGAACUGAUUAAGAAGAAUCCACAAAUGUCUAAUCUUGAAGAGCGAAAUCAAUGUCUUCUUUUUCAUGACUGCCAUAUUCUUUUCAGCUCUCCUUAUCAGUCCGGAGGACUAUCCAUUAGAAGCGCCUAGCAUUUUCUGGGAUUGAACUCCCUCGAUCAAAGUAAUAGCUAUGAAUAGUCCAGAGGCUCAAAGAAGAUUUCGACGGAGCAAAGUUGGAUAUUAUUGGAAUAACUCCUAUCGGAGGGCUCAAGACGAGAAAAGAAUUAUCUCAAGAGAAGCUCGACAAGGGCAUGUCUCAUCACCCCAUUAAUAAAGUAGCGUCCACUAAGAAGAGAGGAGGUGCAGUUAUCAAUCUCAUCGCUUACCAACAUGUCUAAGCGGGACCAGGCCCACAAAGAAGAGAGUAGGAAUUCGUUGCUAGUAGGGAAAAUCUGAUCUUUUCUUAAGGGGACUCUACUAAGGAGGACUCUUUCCCGACCCCUAUUGUACUUGUACGAGCAGCUGCCGACCGAGUGAUGCUCCGAUUUCUCUUAUUGCUUGAGGCUAGGGUCUGGGUCUUUGAUCAGUCUGAUUCUGAAAUUCUGAAAUACUGGUAUACCCUCAUAACGAGUCAGAAUACCUAUCCAGAGUCAACUAAGUCAGAAAGGGCACGGUCUUCAGCCGACCCCACAUCAGGUUCAGGGGAAGGGGCUGUAUUGGUAUUCUCUCUUUCCGAGCGAGGAGUUGAGGACCUCAGAUGGAAUAAGAACAGGCCUUGUCAGAAUACCAGUUUCAUAGGCUUUCCAACCAUCGUGGAAAUCUUCGCUUUUGGAAUGAAGAUGGAUCCGGUCGAGGAAUUCGGUUCGGCAGUUGGACAGGAAGUUGCAGUCUUUGUGGUCCUCCCUUGAAUCUCUUGAAUCCGUACGAUUAAACUUGGGCACGCCGAGAAAGAUCGGAAGACCUUCGUUAUAUCUCAUUUAUGAUCAAAUAACUCAAUCAAAGAUUCCAGAUAGAAUCCCAUAAUCCCAUGAAAUAAGGAAAUAGGCCCUGUCUCAGUCCCGCUACGUGGGGGUUGGAUUCCUUCUUUCUUGGAAAGUCUGCUUAUCUUUCUUCUGAAUUCACUCUUUCAUGAUUGAUGAAAGGGGAUCCCAUUUACCGCACGUAAAAGAAAAUAGAGGCAAAUAACCUAGGCUUUCUCUUUCCGACUACAAUAUCCCUGUCUUAUGGCACCGCUCCGUGGUCCUCCGGCGCAAUGAAAUAUGCGACUUUGCGCCUUCGGACGGACGGAAGGAAAGAGCUACCUUUACCGCGUAGUGGGAUCAUUUCUGAAAGACUGCAAAGUCUUUUUCAAUGGAGCUUCAGUCUCUGAUUUAGUAGACGAGAGGUGGUUCACCCGAUAAAGGCACAGGGGACGAUCGGAACCCGUCGGCGAAGAACAAGAGUCAGGCAGUACUAUGAGCGUAAGAAGAAAAUGAGUGAAGGUUGGGAGUGGGUCUCAUGAAGUAGGGUUCAGAGUAUUCAAGAUCCCUUCUUCGGUAUCUUUCCUCAGAUCUACAGACCAAGGCCGUCGGCUAGGCCUUUCACGCGAUUAACUGGGAUAAACUUAGGCAUCUGAUUACAAGAAAAGGAUAAAGACAGAAAGAAGGACUGAUUUUAGCCUCAGAUCUCAUUAUCCAUCCCAUGGAUUCAACCCCGCAAACUGCAGGUCGAAAGGAAAGGGCCUUAUUGUACAUCUUUCACGCUCCAUCCCUCCUCCCGACCUUGUUUUCUUCUCGCGUGAGUCCGCCUUGUUUCACUAUUUCCUUUUGUACGAAGAGCUUUCUAGAAAGAUGUAAUUCAUUCACCUAGCCCUGUGCCUCCAAAGGCGGCCCACUACGCGGUUCAAAUCUCUCUUCCAAAGGCGGAUGAGGCAGCAAGAAGUACUUCAAAGAACAGAUCUUUCUACUUCUCCAGCACCUCACCUCUCCAAAGAAAGCGAUUCACACCUUUCCCACUCGGAUCGGAAUCCACCAUUAGCGCGGUUCGGGGGACGGGGCGGUGGGUACAGGCCAUGAGCAGUCCCAAUAUUCCUUCCUGAGCCUCCGGACCUUAGCCUUAUUCAUUCGGCUUCGUAUGAUCUCUUUCCCGAGUUGACUCGGAAUCAGAAUCGAAUUCCCAGUGGUGCUCAGCGAGCUAUUGAACUAACUAUUCCCAAUGAGAAUAUCUUGAAAGAAAGAAUAUCAGAAAGAUUCCCCGAAACCACAAUAAAUCAAUAUCGUCAAAUCGAGUAAGAAAACAGGACAUUACACCCAGCCUCCAGCUUCUUAUCUGACUUUUCUUUUGAGUCUUCUGCCUCCGAUAUUAAUGUUUGUAAUAGUCUUUGUUCAUUGAUUGCGCGUAGAAGGAGUUGUCUUUCUUUGACAUAGUUUUUGACUAUCAGAAAAUUGAAUGAUUAUAAGAGUCUUUUAAAAAGGCUACGGACAGCUGGACACUCUUUUCAUUCCUUUCUAAUGUUUUGAAUCUAAAUAAUGAAAUUGCCGAUUGUAAUCUUUUUAAUAGUCUAUCUAAAUCCUAAAAUAGGUUGCUUAAAGCUGCAGACUUCGGACCAUCUUGAUUCUUCACUCUAUAAAAUGCGUAGGACGAACUCCUCUUUCGGAGUUUAUUCCUUUAAGUAGUCUCUUCUUUUAAUGCUUCGCCCCUCUCUAUCUCUGCGGACGAGGAUUGCAGAACAAGGCGCGAUAUCAAGAGGAUGAAUUCUAUCCGAAGAGCCGGAGUCAAGCAUGAACAAGGUCCCUCGGGACAGGAGGUUCAAAGAAGAUUUCAUUGUCUUUCCGUCGGCCUGAGUUAGGAGCAAAGAAUAUGGAUCAGACUAUUAAGGAGCGCAAAUCGACUCCUACGCCUAUCUUAAUGAUGACGAAAGACUAUCCAAAACAAAUGUAUGGCAACUCAUAUUGCAUUCAGCCUCCGGACUCCUACGCGGCAACUAACCUACGGCAAGGCGCGGAGCGAAGCGCAUUUAGAAGAGAAAACGAGUCAAGAGGACGGAGCGCAACUCAUAUUGCAUUCAGCCUAGUCCUACGCGGCUGGAUCGAAAGGUUGAGUAAAGCUCAAGCUAGAACGUAGAUAGGCUAUGGAUCGAAGCAGCCAGCGGCCGGGCCGAGUCUCAUGAAGAAGAUUGAGUAUGAGUACGAUAUUCUUUCUUAUGCUAAUUCUGAAAUAAGGGAGAGAUGUCCAAUAAUCUCCGUUGAUCGAGAACGAGAACCAUAUAUGCGCCUCCUAUGAGGCUCCCAGUACGCCGCCUUCCCAGUAUCGUAGGCAGACGAGAGGGCUCCCCGUUUAGGAUGCUACAGAAGUCAAAAGAGGAGAUGACGAGGUAAGCAGUCGCAGUUCAACUUGCCGAAGUUCUUGUCCCCCCAGUAGUGCCUGGUGUUGACGCUGUCGUGGCUUAGUUUAACCCGCUAAGAUCUUCAUGCCUUCGGUACUCCCAUACCGUAAGUGGCUUUAUUUAUCACCAAGUCGAGAUUCAUACUAUACAGAAAAUGGAGAUUCAAGGGAUGAUGGUCCAACUCGCCUCUCUCCAAAGCCCUUUCACCCUAGCUUUUAUCAUUCCUUUUUAGUUAUCUCUCAGAGAUGUUCACUCUUAAAUAGCAGAAAUAGCGGACAAACUGAUCUUGCUGUCUCGCGCAGGAUCUUCCUAUUCUUAGAGUACGGAUUCAAGCGAUCUAGCUACAGAGUAUGAGACUGAUUCCUCUAGCUUCUCCUGUCAAGCAGAAAGAACUCGGGCGAGCUGACUCAUACGAAGAAGAUCAAAGCCUUUCCGCGGAUGACGCCUCUUUACGAGCCGCGCUUCUAUACUUUCUAGUCUUUCAGUUAGAUCGAGCCUGCCGUCCAAGAGGUUCAAAGAAUAUUGACAUAUUUCAUGAAUCAAAAUCAGGCAAUGGAAGGUGCAAAGAAUAUUGCGAAGACCGCUCCAACUAACCUCUGCGGUCAGUCCUUCGGACCUGUCUUAUGGCACCUACGCAGCUUAAUAUGUGAGCGGUAAAAAGGACCUCGGGUCCAGGUGACCGGUCGAGUCAAUGAACAAGGUUCAAAGAAUAUUGAAUGAGACUGGAAAGGCUAGGUUAGAUGAUCCCCAGGACGAGAAUCAAGCUCAAGCAAUAAGUAUUCUCAGUUCCAGGUGUGAGACCUAGAAAACUCGGUCCUAGUUUACUCGGUUGAAUCAGUCAAAGUAUUUCAGAAGUUGAAUGAGAAUCAAGACAAAGCUCGAAAAGUCAAUAUAUCGUUGACGAGUGGGUUGGGGUAUUCAAUAUACUGAGUUGGCUAGGAGAGGGGAAUGAUAGAUUGAGCGAGACCAUUCGCUAGGGAAGACUGAAUUGAAUUCAGCCUUCGUCCGCAAUAAGAAGGCGGAGGCUGGGUCGGCCCACUACGCGGUUGAGUACGAAGGGGAAUUCCCUGCAGAGGUUUCGGAUCUUGGAAUCAGUACGAAGUCUCACCUCUAACUCUUAUCUUGAGAAGGAAAAGGGAGCGGUUAGAAUAGAAUAUAAAGACUGAUAAGGAAGGAGAGAAGACCGGCGGAUCUCUUUCUCUCUUUAGUAAUAGAAUCAAGGAGAAUGAAAAGUCUGAUUUCUCAUUAAUUCUCUUCUCUCUUUCCCGAGUUCUUGAAUGAGAAAGAUCAAGAGUCAUGAGAGUUGUCCGAGCUCCUCUCCCGGAUUGAGUUGCGGACAGGUAACUGAAAUAGAAAUAAGUACUAGCCUCCAGCGCUCACUAGAAAGUAGGGUUCAGAGCGAAGUGACCAUAUCGGUGAGGGCAUUGUCUAAAGUGCUCUUUCAUAUCAUAAGAGUACGAAAAGAAAGGAUCGGGAGAGAGAGAGGUGCCAGGUUCGGUUAAUUACGGAAAGUCCUCCUUCCAUAUGGAUAGUCCUCCGUUUUAGAGUCCUUCCUUCCAUAUGGAUGGUCCUACUUCGGUUAAUUACGGAUGGUCCUACGGAUAAAUCCUGCGGACUCCGGACCCUGGACCUUUGUUUGAUGGAUAAAUACAGGAUCAAGUGCUUUCACCGCUACGCUUCUGCUACUCCGAAAGAAAGGCUCCAGUCCGGAGGACAGGUCCGAAGGCUAGGUUCAUACGGAUAGUCCUCCGGACGGGGGAACCGUAGGCGCAAAGAAUAUUGCGGCUCUUUCCGCUCUCUUUCAUGUUCGGAUAAAUAAAUAGAGGGUAGUUGGUAGUUUACGGCUGUCCGCUACGCUGGAGCUACGGAGAAAGAAAGGAUAAAUAGAAAGUUUCCGCUCCUUCUAGUGGACCUUUAGAGUCCUUCGGACGUCCUCCGGACUAUCCAUAUUAACCUUUGGUCCAGGCGCAGGCGCAAAGAAAGAAGCUCAUUAACGAGAAUGAAAGCAGAAUGAACUCAUUAACGAGAAUGAAAGGCGGUGCUGUAGGCGCUGCAUCCCAAACCUGAAGGCGCACGUUGGCAGGGAAGAUGAGCUACGCAUUGAGAUAGUUUUUCCAAUCGAGCUCAGUACCGUAAAGCCUAGAUUCCCGGAGGGGGCGGACUUAUUGAAAAAGGGGGAAUGAGAGGGAUAUGCUAGUUUUUAUAGGGGGGUAGUGGUCCCUAUAACUGAGCAGUCCCUCAAGCCGAAGACGAUACCUAUAUCCAUACCGCGGAAAACAAGACAUCAGCAGGGGUAGGGUCCAUAGAACAGCCGUCAUGGCUGGAGGUGCCCGACGCCUCUUGGUUUGGAGGGGCUGAGGCCUCUGGGAUCCUCGUCACAAUUUCAAGGACAAUUACAGGAUAACCUGUAGAGAACAGAAAGAAUGAACUUGCGUGCUUCAGAUAGACAGAAGCAAUGACUUCUCCGGCCCCCAUUCGGAGGGGUCUCCGCUGAAGAACAAUGCCAGCGGGGGCCUUUAUGAUGACGGGCUUCUUUCUCUUUCUGAUCUUAUAUUUCGGAGUCGACAUUCUGGCAACUACUUCUGUGAUGUUCCUUCCAUGGAGGAAUUAGAGGUAGCUCUUCGUUCCCUACGGGAGUUUCUGACUGACUGAUUUCUUAUAGUAUAGGGACUCCUGAGGCUGAAGAACCAUUCCAGCGGGGGCCUUUGGGACUAUGAGGCUGAAGAACCAUUCCAGCGGGGGCCCUUAGGACUAUGAUUGAUCUUCGAUUUCGAUUUCUUUAUGAUCGGACGGGGAUAGUAGAUACUGCUAGUGGGACUACCCUCCGGUGCUUUCGGGCAUCGGUCCGGUAGUCAUCCACACGCGCGCAAGGGAGUUCUUUUCCUAUAUCAUACCUUGUUUUCAGUGGGAGGUUCAAAGAAUAUUGACGAGGGGAUUUACUCGCCGUGGAGUGGAUAGGGGCGUGGGGAAAGGAGAGGGAAAGUCUCGAUAAUUAGGUUAGAGGUCGGGGCAUUCAGGCAUCAUUCGGUCAUUGUUCGGAGAGGGGGGGGGACGGUCUAGAGUAAUUGAGUCUUCCACUAAAGGGUAAAGAGCUACAUCCCAAUCCAGAAAGGGGAAAGUCAAGAGUUCCUUGGUUCCAUCCCAAUCCCCAGAGAAAGGGGAAAGAGUUACCUCUGGGAUUCAUGGAUUCAUGGAUGAAGGGGGAAAGGGGAAACCCGGUCCAUCAAAGGGAAAGAGUGGACUCUCUUGAUCCGAUCCAAUGUGCCUGCCUUCUCAUCUCAAUCUCAAGCCGGAAAAGAAAGAACAAGGAAAGGGUCUCUCUUCGGCCGGGCCGCGUGCGGGCCGCCCUUCCACGUCCACUUCUCAUGCCACAGGUACAGGGACGGACGGACCGGAGGGAGAUUCCAGUGACCCAGGUGACCUUCACCGGCUGCUAUACUAAGUUGACUGAGGCUCCGAGGCUCUCACUCCGACUUCCUAAUCAUCCCAUCCUAUUUCAGAAUGAACUCUCCCGACGAACCGCACUCAGAUGGGGCGGCUACUUCUUCUUCCUAAACUGGUGCUACUUCCUAAACAAGGGAAAGAGCCUACUAAACAGUGGCUGGCUGGCGGCUUCCCUCCCUAUGACCCGUGUGGGCGGCCUUCCUUCCUAAACUGCCUUCCUUCCUAAACCCUAAACAGUGGAUAGAGCAUUCCCUCCUAAACAGUAGUCGGAUCGAGAUGGAUGCUCCCGCCGGGAGCCUCUUCCCUCUGACCCGUGGGAUUGACCUGACUUGACUUCCCCUUCUUCCCCUUCUCGUUCUUCCUCUCUUUUCUUUUGGGAGUUUGUCCCGCGUGCACGAGCCCUUUUCUGGGACUUUUUCCAGAGCAUGAUUGGAGGAGCGGAGCUUCUUUCCUUAUUUUCGUUUUCAUCCCUCUAUCUCCUUCAAAGAAAGAUCUUCGUAGAACCUUUUCGAUUCCCUAUUCCGGACUCCUAAAAGACUCAAGAUUCCGAGGAAGAACUAAUCAGGAAGAUAGGAAGAAGAACUCAAAGAGCAGCUCAUGAAAGAGAGAGAGUUGGAUUCAGCCUAUCCCUGGGACAGGGGCGGCUAUCUUGUGCGUGCACUGGAGACCCAAGACCAAGAGGUUGGAAUUUCUUCCUUAUUAGCGGAUUUGAGCUAUCGGGAACUAUACCGCGUAGUGAGGAGGUGACUCGACCCUGUAUGGCUAGCAUUCUCAAGGGGUAGAUCAGCGGGAACCCAACCCCUACUUUCUUGAUCAGGGAGUCUCCAAACCAAAAGGGGAUUCAUUCUGCCUUCCCGAAAUCUUCUUAUUUGACUGCUUGGAUACGAUUUGCCAUCACUCCUGAAACCCAUGAAAAGUGCAGUCUAAUCAAUAUAGAAAGAAUUCUCGCAAUAUUCUUUGCGCCUUCUACGCUCUCCAUGGGCUCGCUUUCUUUGGAUGGACGGAGGAUCAAAGAAAGCCAGAUUGACUGGUCCGAAGGACUAUCCAUCAGGGAGGAGUGGAAGACAGAGCGGGAAGAAUGGAUAUUGUAGACCGCGGGAGGGGGAUGAAAAAGAAAGCUAUGCGAGAGUAGGUAGGGUCGGGAAUGAGCUAUGAGGCAAAUAGCCUCUAACCUACUAACAAGAAAAGCAAGUUCAAAUAAAUGAAAUGGGCCGGACUCAGAAAUCCAUAUUAAUCUGUGGUUUUAGUGGAAUUCAUGAGUUUCGGAGGUUCCGGAGGCCGUCGGACCAAAGAAAAAGAAAGAAUGUCUCAAUAUCCUUUGAGCCUCCGGAGGAGCAAGGAAUAGUAAGGACUUUAUCAAGCUUAACUUCUUUCAACUUCUUUCUUUCUUUGCGCCUUGCUUUCGUUUCAACUGAAAGGCUCCAUUGAUGGGGUACGAGAACAGAAUGAAAGAAAACCGCUCUAGCGGACACUGCAACGGAUAAGGAAAGAGGGACAGCUACCUGAUCUCAUAUUCAACCCUUCUUCAAUCUCAAACUAGGGAAAUCGGCUUAGCUGCCUAUAGGCAUGCUUCUCUCUCCUCGUCAGUCUCAACUUCUUAGUCGUUCACUCUACGGUCUCGUUCUAUCCGCGAUCCUCCUUAUUCUGAAGAGAAAGCUGCAUUCGUAUCUAUUACAAUAGAAUAUAGAAUAAUGUCUUUACUGGAACAAGAACAACCAGGAGGAGUGACUCAUGAAAGAAGACUGAUCAGAAUUCCCGAUCGAACAAGAGAUGACGCAUCUGACAGUCGAGCCUAUCGGAGAAAGGAUGGUGCAUCGCCUAUUUCUCGUUCUCGCUCUCCUAUUCGGCAACUUAUGACUGAAACUUCUGUGAGUCCGCCUCUUUCUUUUCAUUCUGAUUGACGAAAUGGCACAACGGAUCCUGAUACGGGGAAACUUCCUUCUUCCGAUUGAAAGAGAGAGCUUCCUGGGCUGGGCUUUUGACUUCGCCCUCCUGCUGAGACCCUUCAUGCCAGUAUAUAUCUUGCACCUCCGCCCCAAGGAAAGGGGUCUUUGACCACCCGAGGUUGUGGCAUCCGCUCUUUUGUCGAAGUGGCAGCAGAAGUUCAAGGUUUAGCUGCAGCUUUAGUAGAUCGCCUCAUCGCCUAACUCUGCAUUCUUUGACUUUGUGACACCACUCUUUUCUUUCUAAGAGGUGGAAUAGGUUCUUUGAAAGAAUAAAGCUCCAGAUGAGGCGCAAUGAAAUAUGCGAGGUCGCAAGUCAAAUUCUCUAAUGGAUAGGCCUUGCGACGGAGCAGACCGCUUUCAUGAAAUAUUCUUUGAACCCGCGGGAGAAGAUUCAUUAAUAGAAGGGUAGGCUCGUGGCUGGGGAAAAUAGGAUGAAUGAAAUAUGAGAGAGUGAGGGUCAAUAUUGACCUUUGGAGAAGUUGAGGAAUGCAUUCUCAGUUAUAGGGCUCGAACAGAGGGACGAAUCGCCCAUUCCCUAACUUCUUUUCCGUAGGUUGUCCAAGAUUCAAUCAAAGGAGAGAGAGAGUUUACUUAGUGAGGUUGAGGGACACGCGUCUCAAGCCAUAGAUCACCCGUGUGAAGAGGGAGAGUAAUCAGCCUCAGCUUGCGAAUAGGAUGAAUUAGGCGCUGGACGCUGAAGGGCGCUGUUCUUGAAACCUUUCUGUCUUUUUAGCCCACGGUUUUUUUGACUUGACUAUUAUUUACUCUGCGGUUGGGUUGAGAAAUUGAGUAUAUGAGUGAAUAGACUUUGAGUCUGAGAUCGAUCGUAUGUAUCGCGCGUCAUCGUCUCACGCCUGAAUCCGGGGAUGAAUGAAAAUAGAGUUCAAGGUCAAAAUGCCAUAAGGCAAAUUGCUCAAGGGGAACUGAAACUUGAUUAUUCCUCUUCGAGUCUAGGCUUUCUUUUAGGAGCCUCUAAAUAGUAGGAAAGUUCAGUCAGGAGACCUCGGUGUGAGCCACUUUAGAAGUUGGAUAGAAUCUGAAAAAAGAAGGAAGAACCGAAAGCGAAGCGACUGAUCGAUGAACAUCCAUAAAUAAAUAGGCAGAAUUUGAGAAGCGAAGGUUCAGCUUCAUUCAGACGACCUAUCCUCGAUUAGGAGGUUCAAAGAAUUUGAGAAGAAUUUGAGGACUCCCAAAGAGAACUCCCCAAGACCAGCAUUCUUGGAUCUCUCAUAAGGCCCACGUAGCGGGAAAGGCGCCUCAAUCCAAUCACUCUAUGGAGGCAAGCACGCUGCGAGAGCCAAGCCAGUCUCCCCUUUCAUUUCUUGCUCCAGGAAUGCUCGAAAGGGAAGUUGCCGAUCUUCCUCCUCUUUCUUCAGUUCUAGGUCUUGUAGCCCACUCUGCGGUCGUUCUACCAGUGCUGCUUGCCCUUUCAGUUCUUCUUUCUGUGUCGGAUGCCUCAUCUCUUGACCAAGGCCCCUAAUAACGAGAUUGACUGGUCAGUUAGAUACUCCUUUCUAUAAUAGACUUCUUCCACCUUCCCCUUAUUCAUUGAUUCGUUAACGAAGGCAAAAGGCUCGACUAAAGCAGAAUCCGUACCAGGGAAGUCCCAUCCGAUUAGUGGAAUCGGGAUCAGUUCUUCGUGAGAUCGUCGUAGGCCUUCUCUAUUUCUCUUUUCACCCAAGCAGAAUGACCGAGGGUAGCAGCAGCUGAGUGAACACGAGGCCAUUCUACGGAGAGAAUGAGAAUUCCUUCUUUGGUCCUGGAUUCUUCUUUCUCUAUUUCCCGUAAGACCAAAAUGCAAUGAAUAGAAAGGUUAAUAUGGAUAUAAGUUAAGCUUGUAGAUUUCAGACUCCUGAGGACGGGUCUCAUCACCCCAUUAAAAGUCCACUAAUAUUAACUUCCUUUUUCUCUCAACAAUAUCCCGCACCUCGUUUUUGGAAAAUAUGAUUCAUACUUGCACUCAUUCCGAUAAUUCUUUGAGCCCUCCCCCAGUGCAAAGAAUAUUGCGAAGACCGCUCCGAAGGAGUCUUAUGAAACCUGGACCCUUCUUUUUAAAGAAGAAGGACUAUCCAUUAGAAGGGCCUCAGUCCUAUCCAUAUUAACCUAGCAUCUGGACCCCUUAUAAUUGGGCCACGAUCUUUGCGCCUCCUUCGGAGUGAUCCUUUCGCUCAAUAUCCUUUGAGCCUAACGUCUGCAAUCAGUCUUUAAUAGAAUUAUGACUUCGCAAUAUUCUUUGCGGAAGAUUUUCUCUCCGCAAUAUUCCCUAAUGGAUAGUCCUUCGGACCUGUCUCGCAAUAUCCUUUGCGCCUCGCAAUAUGCGCCUCUUUUAUCCAAAAUAUUAGUUCCAUUAACAAGUCAUCUAGCCCUUUGUUUUUGGGGUAGAGUCCUUCGCUCUUUAGUUCCCGCAAUAUUCUCCUUCUACGCGGUUCAAAGAAGAUUUCAGUCCGGAGGCUCCAUAAGACAGGGAUAUUGUAAGGACAUUCUUUCUUUUUGAAAAAGAAGAGAAAAGAACUCCGUAGGAGCGGUCCAAAAUAGAAGUCCUUAUCUCUCUAGUAAUGCUGAAGUUUCUUCCUUUACCGCGGAGUGGGCUUCCUUUAAUUUAAGUAGGUUUCUUUGACCCGACCUCUUCUUUUGAAGCCUUUUGACUACCGGUACCGGCAUUUUACUCUCAGGAGGUUUUGCCAGGGUUUGACUCGAGCUAGAUUCCGAUCCUAAACCUCUCCUUAUUUCAUUCCUCUCCUCAAGCGAGUCGAGCUACUUUCUUUCUAAAAAAGAGCUACUUUAUGCAUUAUUCAUUCGGUCGCUACUUCUGACUCCGGUACUCCGGUCGAGCCACUUCGCCCCGAUACUCUACUCUGACUCUACCCUAUUGAACCGAAGGAGUUGGUUGGAGAUCCGCACCCUCCAUUUCGACUAUCUUACCUAUAGUUCAAACCGCCUCAAUGAACAAGGGGGAAUUUCUUAUGAGAACUGGAAGUCUCGUCAAUAUUCUUUGAACCUUCGUCUCGUCUUGCAUUUCAACCUCUUCUUAUGAGAAGACGGUCACGCUCUUUCGAUCUUCUGGUAGUCUAUAUUGAAUAACCUAUGAGCCGCAUCUUAUCUUAGCAGCUAACCCACGGAGCGGUAUCUCGGGCCUAGCUUAAUAAUAGGAAUCACUCAUAUUGCAUUGAGCCUAAUUAUAAGGGGUCCAGGUGACUAUCCAUUAGAACUUUGAACCUUCGGACCGGUCUAAUUCCGAAAGAUCUAAAUCAGGUCUAUCUCAGUAACCCUUCAGCCUCAGCACAACUAAGCAAGAAGAACAAGCGGGAACAAGGACGGCAACCUCAACAGCGGGCGGAGCCGCAACCCGACCCGGGACAAGAUCUGAGGCUAGAUCUACCUCGUAACCCCUUCCGAUUCCUUCUUCUUUGAGUUGACUGAGAAUACCGCUUUGAAAGCCACGGAUCUAGUAGCGGGACUGAUUCCAUUCCCUUGCAUACGUCUUCCUCUUGUUGGACAGCUACUUUCUUCCUGGGCGCCUACUAAGAUCAGGUUGAAUCAGAGCCCAUAAUAUAAGGAUAGGAGGUAAAGGAAGAAAGAGAAAGCAAUCGCCGACCGCUCCGAAGGAGUCUUACCAGUCCUGAUCCUGAAAUUUGAAUAACCCGCACCUGCCUCAAAUUCUCAAUAUGAAAAUAGUGGACUUGAAUGGGGUGAUGAGACCCUUCCCUUCGGACGGAGUGAAAAGAAAGUGAAAUAUUCUUUCGAUCAUUCUUUGAGCGAGCUAUAGAAGGCGCAAUGCAAUUAUAAGGGAUCCAGAUGAGGAGCAAAGAUCAUUGAUAAGGAAGAUUAGAAGCAAAAGUUCGGUUCUUCAUCCUGCUCAGAUUUUCGGUGAAUCUUUGCUACGUGGGAACUAGAACCGCGGAAGAAAAACAAGGGUCUAUAUGAACUAUCCGUCCGAAGGCGCAAAGAAUAUUGCGGAGUAAAUAGUGGUCCUCCGGACUACAGGUUAAUAUGGAAAGUCCUUGCACUCCUUUCUUCUUUUCUUAGAUAAAUGCGCUUCGUAGAUUAUGCUGAAGGAGGAGGACCCAUCAAAAGUGAAUAUGGUAGAUUUCAGAGUCCCGCAACAAGAGUAAUUUAGUUGGACUUCUUCAUCUCAAAUACUUUGAGCCUUUGUUUUCUAAGUCAAAGAUGGAACUAGAAGAAUAUUGACGAAUGUUCAAAGUCCGGAGGACCUCUUUGAUCCACUAAGUCAAAGGAUGAAAGUCUAAAAAGAAGAAAAGAGAACUACUCCGCGGAGGUCCGGAGGACUCAUUCAUUCCACUCAAACUUAUGGCCUACGUAGUCGUCCUACGUAGCUUAAUAUACUUCCGACUAUCCGAUGAUGAAAGUGGAAUAAAGAAAGCCUAUCCAACAACAAGAAACUUCAGGAUUCAAGGAAGAUAGGCUUGAUGAUAAAUAGUAGAAUAAGAGGAUAUAAGAAGGUUCAAGGCAUAGGAAGAAGAAGAAGAAAGCCCACCUUCCAAUUAGUGGGCUUACUAGUAAUGCUGAAGUUUCCGCGGAGCUUCUUUGCGGAGCCAUAGGCUAAUAGUCCUUUUUUUAGGUUCUGGAUAGGCUUUCGUAUUUAUUUUAGGCUAAGAUGAUCAUUCUUCAUUCUUCGACAUGACUUCGGAAACAGAAAAACAAAAGAAAGGGCCAAAAGUUACUAAAUUUCAGAUUCUCGUAUUACUGAUGAAGAAAUGUCUAUAUUCUCCAUUAUAUACUCUAUUCUGAUAGUUUGAAGCUAGUUCCGAGAUCUUCUUGUUCUCAAGAGGUUUGUACUAACCAUACGUUUACCAGCCUUAAUAAAGUAAAGGCUUCUUGGGGCCUUCGAAAGAUGAGAACUCAAAGAUCGAGAUAGAAAGCUUAAAGAACUACCAUGAUAGCUUGAACUUUCUGUCUUCCUUCUUCUUCGACAAAGCUUUUUGAUACUCUGCCUAUCCCAGAAAUAUGAAGGAUGCCUUGCUUCGCGGGCGCCUAUAUAAGGGCCACUCGGGGCCUCGCUCUAUUGGGCGCUGGGUUUUCGAAUCAAAACCUUCUGAGAGAUAGACAAAGCUUAAACUACCGAUAUUAUGACUCUGACUUCGUUAUAUCGAUGAGAAUGAGUUCCGCUCUUCGAGCCCUCAUCUUCCGCCUUUGUUUUUCUUCUAUCUCGUUCGUAAACUUCUUUAUUUCACGACUCAAUGUAAUUGUAAUUGAUCCGAUCUCCUAGGAGAAAGUUCAGUCAGGUUUAAGAAGAGGAAGGAAUAAUAGUAUUCAUGUUUUCAUAGAAAGGAAUAAAAGGUCAAUGGAAGUCCUCCUCCGGAGCCUACUACGUCCUUACUAAUAAUGCUGAAGGUUCCUCCGGACGGGAAAGUUACCCCUUGUUCAUUGAGGCCCAGUCCGAAUGGAAGAAAAAGUCAAAAGUCUAUCCGCUACUUUCAUCCGUCCGAAGUCCUCCGGACUAUCCAUUAGGUCCAUUGAAUUUAGCGGUCGGACGGGUCACCUGGACCCUUGUUUAUCCACAGGUUAAUAUGGAUAGUCCUCCGGACGGACCAAAAAAUACAUCAAAAUAGAAGUUGCGCUUUCUUCUUAGUAGGUUUAAAGUGCAAGCGGUGUCAAAUCAAAUCAUCAUACUAUUUGACUCUCUUUCACAGAUAUUCUUCUUUACAGGUACAAUCAAUACAUUAUAGGUAAUAGCUUUCUCUCUUUUUCUACUACGGUCGAGCAGCGGAUGCGAGUCAAAUCAAAUGAGAAGGCGAAGAUUAGAGCUCAAUUACGGAUAACCUCUUCCGAGACGGAAACUCUGAUUGCACUUGUUUUCAUUUCUUUGACGGGGGAGCCUCUGUUUUGACUCAUGAAGUGACUCAAGCGGACCUCUCAGAAAACCGUACUUUUGUUUUCGCGCUUUAGGGGCUAGUCCCAUUCUGAUCAUACUCACACGGAUUCUUGCACGGGGCCGAGUGUUGGGGACUUUGUCGUCUACGAGCGGGUAUUCUAUCUAGGUCUCGCUAUUUCAUCCAUUCCUUCUCGUUCGUAACCUAGGAGUGGGUCUCGCUUUUGAUCUCGACUUCGUGAACUACGUCUCCUCAAUUACGCCUAGCCUUCUCGUGAGAACAAUUACAGACUCAUUAAGUGAGAAUGAAAAUCAAAGAAGAAUAGGAAUAGUUUGAAACUGAAUCAAAACCUACUGAAAGAUCGAAUGAGCACUGUGAAAGUAUGACUCUUGCUUCUUUUUGCAGUCUUUCUUCGGAGUGAUAGUACUUUGGUAGAUAGAAAAUGGAAAGUCUAACUUGAAGCUCUUCUUCUUUCCUUUCCUCUGCCAGACGUUUACCAGCCGACUACAAGGCUCUUCCCUACACGAGAUGAAGAACAAGUCAGCAGAAAGAGCUAGAACUACCAGUUCAGAACUGAUGAUUUUUCUCAAUGAAAUAGAUCAUGAAACUGCUCUUUUUGAGUCCUCCUUUGGACUUCUCCUUUCUCGUCUUAUUCCUUGCCGCUCCUCCGCAAUAUUCUUUGCACCUCUCUCGUCUUCUUCCGUCCUUUUGAUAGGCUUUCCUGAAAUGACUGAACUUUCUAUUCAUGUUCCUGCUUUAUCCCCCCUAUCUUUUAUGGCGGUUCCACUUUCUAUUUGGCUUAGGAGAAUCCUUGAUCCGGCUAGCGAGAUGGGAUGAUUGACCUUCUGAUGUCCCCUGUUGCAGGAGUCUAAGCAGGAGAAUGAAGAUCUUGCCGCUUUUGAGACAGGCUCGGGUCAGAGGUCAGAACAAGAGGAAGAGACCGCUCAUACGAGUCUGAGGCAGGCAGCUAAAUCCCACCAGCGGCUGAUUUCUUCAUUUUCUCUCUCUAUCUUGCAGGGACUAGGGAAGAAUCUAAGGCUCUUUAUCAUUUGAUUGAGACUAAAGGGGUCGGCAGAUGAGAUGCCCUUGUUCAUUGAGGCGGUUAUGGAGGAAGUUGCAGUUGGUCUUGCAACUAGAUCGAUCGCUCGGUAAGCACCGCGUAGGAAAGGCCAAGGAAAGACGAAAGGAGCCCUUGGGAAAGGAAAGUUGGAGUCAAACCGCUCUAGGAGAGAAAGUCAGUCGCAGAGGUUGUGCCAUCCUCUUGUUCUUCGCUCUAGUUCUUCUUGUUGAAGCUUUCCUUUCAGACUCUUCGCCUCGUCCGUUGUAUGCUCUUGCAACUGGAUUGAUUUAGUAGACAUUGGCCAGAGUUUUUCUCUGGGGAAGGCAUGGGAAAGAAAAUCAGUGUCUCCUCUGGUUAUAGAACCUUCGAUCAAUCAACAAAAUAAAAGGAAGCAGAUGAGGUCUUGCGUCUUUUCCCAAAGUCAUUAAUCAAAAAAGCAGAUCGAAUCUUUAUACAAAUUGAAUACAAAUUUGAGACUCUUCUUCAUGAUACUCAACCCCCAAAAAGUGAUUCGCCGACUUUAGCUCGCCUAAGCCUGGUUAAUAGAGCAUUGUCGGCGAAUCCGUACUUCUACUCCUUUUUUCAAGAUUGAACUAGGAAAGAAAGAACAAGUCUGUGUUAAGCUUAAGCAGGAGGUGCAAAGAAUAUUUCGUGGAAGAGGAAGGAAAGAAAGAAAGGUAUACAUUACAAGAAGAGAGAAGAGGAAGGAAAGCCUACUUAAACCUACUAUCAAUGAACCGCAAUAUUCUUUGCGCCUCCCAGUCUCCUAAUGGAUAGUCCUACUUCGGUUAAUUACGGAUGGUCCUACGGAUAAAUCCUCCGGACUCCUUCCCUCCAUAUGGAUGGUCCUACGGAUAAAUCCUCCGGACUCCGGAUAAAUCCUGCGGACUGCGGACUCCGGACGUAGGACCUGUCUUUAUCAGGAGCGUAGCGAACAGCCGUCAACUACUUGAUAGUUAUCCUAUCUUUCUCCUACGCGGAAUCCAGAAUAGACCUCUCUUUCUCCGGAAAAGAAACUCAAACAAGAAUCAAACUAUGUGAAUUUCUUAUCCCUUUCCUAGGAGUUCUUCUUUCAUUGCGUUUUCCCGGCUUUUUUGCUUCUAAAUAGGACUUUUUCUCAUAUUUCUAUUUCACGAAAAUAGAUCAAAAAUGACUGAUUUUUCAUGAUUUCUUUCUACUAUUUCUUUUCAGCUCUCCUUAUCAGUCGAGCCCAAAACCUAGCAUUUCCCUCCGCGGAUUCAUCUGAAAUCUAGCAGAUUCAUAAUGAUUCUUUCAUUCGAGUUAUGAAAUCAUAAUGAUUCUUUCAUUAUCGUUAAUGAGCUUCUUUCAUUAUCGUUAAUGAGCUUCUUUCAUUAUCGUUAAUGAGCUUCUUUCAUUAUCGUUAAUGAGUGAAUUCUGCUUUUCUUGACUUUUGUGCCAGUCCGAAGGACUAUCCAUAUUCUAUUCUUUGCGCAUCUGCGUCCUUCUUUUUCGCAACGCAUAUUGAAUUGCGCCUUUUAUCUCUUUCUUCUUAAUAGACCAAAUCGAUGAAAUAGACCAAAUCGAUGAAAAGAAGGAGAAUUUGUCGGAAAUGGCCGGGAUAGCUCAGUUGGUAGAGCAGAGGACUGAAAAUCCUCGUGUCACCAGUUCAAAUCUGGUUUUCUCGGCACAUCAUGAAUUUGUAUGAGUAUCUAUUCUACGGAUUCAUUAAUAAUAUAGAUCAUUCAAGGAUACAUCAUCUUUGACCCUCAAGACUCAACAAUAUCCCCCAACUACGUUGCCUCAGUCGCAGCAAACAAAAAGAAAGCGGAAAUCCCCUAAUGGAUAGUCCUUCGGACCUGUCUUAUGGCGCCUGAUUUUUCUUCUUCGGGCCUUCGUAGCUUAAUAAUGCCCACGGAGCGGGAGGGGUCACUUAUCGGUAUUUCUACUCCAAAUAAAGGAUAGUAUUUCAGGCAGGGAUUCGUCAGAAUCCGCUCAUAGUCGGCCGAAAAUGCAAGCACAUAAAAGAAAGCGGAAAUCUGAGCAAUAUUCUUAGCGCCUUGUCCAAGUCCUCUAAGUUGGAGUAGAACCUUAAGGCCAUUACGCGCUUCCCCCAGGGCCUUUCGUCGGUGGUGAAGGUAGAUGGAAUACGGUUGCCCAUCAAUGGGAACAUUCGCCUUUUUUAGAAAAGUCCGUUCAUACUUCCCAUCCAACCUGCACUCCUGCCCAUCCAGUAGGGUUAGUAGGGUCUAGCUCCCCAACUUCAGAAUCGUAUUGGUUCUGGUUCUUGUCCUCCAUUCACUCAUCGAGGACCCAGAGGUCAAAGUAGUCAUGGGCUCCAGAGUAGUCGUUCCUCCUUUGUCCCUAGGCUUGAUCUUCUUCUUGCCUCAAACCCCCCUUUUUCAACAGACUCAUUAGAAGCGUCUUUUGUGUACUCGGGGGGCCGUAGACAAAGAGCUGUCUGCUUUUUAUGGGCCGCUCGAAGACAAGGUUGGUUGCGAUCCAAUCCAGCAGGAGGUACUUCUCCUGCAAUUCCUCUGCAGUGUACUCGUGGGGCCACCCUCUCUCCUCGAGAAAGGUUACCAUUUUCGAAUAUGGGGACGCCUCCUGCAGCUUCAGGCGCUGUGAAUCUUCCCAAAGGUUGAUCACAGUAUUGUAUUUGGUCAAGAGCAGAUCCGCUAGCUCGCUUUCACGAGGCAGGAAGUUUUCACAAGCAUCUAUCUUUCGUAAAAUCCUCUUUGUACGCUCGCGCUUGUACACCAUGCUAAUAAGGGUCCCCUUCCUGUGGUUUGCCACAGCUUCGGCUUCCAUGAGUAUCUCCUCAGAACUUUGCAUAAGGUUUCUUGUCUUGCUUUAUGACAUAGACACAUAGGCUACCCCAAGCCUUAUUCAAGGACACCUUGCAUUGUCUUCCCUCCCUGGAAGGCUUCCCUUAUUCUAUUUGUUGCCUUGUUCUUUGAUGCAUUCUCGUUCUGAAUGGCAAUAUGAGAAUUUCCUCGUCCUUCUGCCUUUCCUCCGCAAUCACUAUAGAAGUGCAUCGGACAUAAUAUCUAAGCCCUCACCCGACUUUCCAUUUCCUCCUUCUUUAUGUCCUUUCUUUUACUGGGACAGAGUGAUAAGAAUGAACCUUCUUAGUUGACUCGACGAAGGUCCUAAUGCUUUCCCACUAGUGCUAGUAUCGGUCAUACGCUUAAUCUUAAGAUUUCAGAAAAAGAAAUGAAAAUGAUAAGAUAAGCCAAACUCGGAAAUCAGAGUCCUCCUUCUUCUCUUUUCUUUGGUACUGGUGUGCCCCGUAAGGGCACGCUCGGCUCGGUCUCUUUCUGGAGUGGAGAGGGAAUACUUCCAGCAUCUAGCAUCAUCGAGUUUCUCUCUCUUUUACAAUCAAACUAGAUAAGGCCCUCGGCAAGUCCUAGCUCCCCCGAGGAAGUCAACCAAAUUCCAUAUUCUAACCCAGAAAAAUGGGACUCAAUGGGUAGCAAUUGUCCUUAACCCAGGAGUAUUAAGACCGGAGCGGUAUGAUUUGAAUCAGUACGAGAAGAAAGUCAAUGAACAAGGCUCAAAGUCGCAUAUUUCAUUGCGCCGGAGGACCACUUCGGUGUCCAAGCUUGCGGCACCGGUAUGCAGCCCUCUCACUUGCCUUAGUUUCUAGUUCAAAGAGAGUUCUACGCCCUCGCGUGCAGCCUUCUCGUCUUCAGCAUUGAAUAGAAAUAUUAAGGGUGCCUCAUGCGAUAGGCUGGAUUCAAUUUCGUUGCCAAAAGGCCUUGAACGAGGAAUCAUGGGAUAUGUCUGAUUUCGACCAGGAAAUAGAGAAAUCGGCCUUACCAUGAUAUUCAAGACCAUUUUUCUAGAGCUCAACCGGAACUAGAAGACGAAGAAGCCACGGUCCCCCACUGGGAUACUUCUUUGAUGUACCAAAAACCCUUGUUAAGGCCUCGCUCGAUUCGCACUUUCAACCCAACUCCCUCUUUUUUUUAUGAGUCCUAGCAGAGGACAGAUUCUGCGCUUGAUCUUUGCACGUCGACAGCUUAUCCCACCUCAUUUGGAGUUUGGCUCCUGGAUAGCUACUUGGUCUCGGUAAGACGGGAAGGUAUUUGUACGAAACCCUUGUCUGAAACAUAUGCAAACCUCUCUUUAUCUACCUUGCCCACUACGCGGUAAGGGAAAUUCAGAGAAGAAGACAAAGAGAUCUGAGUCACAACUGCUCAAGUAAUAUUGGUUCUCUUUUGCUUUCUCAAAAGGGCUCUCAUCCGUCUAUCCCCUGCGCUCUCUGACUCUGAUUUGGAAUACUCUUUCAAUAGGAUAAAAAGUCAUGAAAUUAGGUUCAAAGAAGAUUUGCGCUCUGGUGCGAAGCCCACCGCUACAGGAGGACCUCUUUCAUCCCUUGAAGUUCCCGAAUUACUUACGAGGUCAAAUCUCUUUUUCUUAGGGGUGGUUUCAGUGGGGGGAGAUCAAAAUCACUGUAUUUUCACGAAUCCGCGAUCCCUAGAUCCGAUCGAUCGAAGCACGGAUUCAAGCUCUCUAUAUAAAUCUAGAAUAUAGACGAUAAGACGAUUCGGUCCUUUUGACUCGUUCAUUCCAUAUUACGGCGAUUCCCCGCAUUACUAGAUUCAAGGCACCAAGGCUCAAAGAAUGAUCGAAGAAUGAACUCAUUAACGAGAAAAGUCAAAGAGAAGGUUUGAAUCUGAUACGAGAAUCACCUUGAUAAAGAGGUUUGAUUCUACGAAAGAUUACUGACUAUAAACAGGAGACCAAUCACAUUUGAGCUACUCUAUCCCGUAGAAAGAUCACUGAAAAGAACCUUGAAAGAGAGAAUCACCUUUUAGGUUUGAAUCUGAUACAAGGAAAGGGAAAGAUUACAGACUAUAAACAGAAUCUAAGGUUUCAUUCUCAAUUUCACUCUAUAACGAUAAAAGAGUCAAUCAAAUGGAAGAGAACUAAGAAGAAUAUAAGGUUUCAUUCUCAAUUUCACUCUAUAACUAGGGAAAGAGAAAAGAUAGGAUAAGAAAGAAAGAAAAUCCUCUGGAUUACCAGCUCCCCCCGUGAUGAUUGGUUCGAUCCUAAGCGAAAGGUUUACCGCUAGGCGAACUAGCAUCAGGCCGUAAGCCUUGGUAAGCUAAGGGGGAGCCUUCUAAAAAAAGAAUUAGAAGAUAGUUACCGAAAAAAGGAAAGUGAAGUAGAUUGAAUGACCUGAAAGACAGCUACCUGGUCUCACUUAACGAAGGGGAGGAAUGAAUGGAGUGAGGAGUAUGCACGGAUUUAUUGACCUACUAGCAGGACUGGCUGGCCCAACGUAAUAGAAUAGAAGUCCUUCUCCCUUCCAACCAGUACACAUUCCCUGACGGGAAUACAUGGUCUAAACCUAGGCUCUCAACCCUCGGCCCUCAACCCAAUACUCACUCUCCCGAUUGACUAAGACACCCCCCCUGGAGAAUAUGGUGUAGGUGGAAUAGGCGGACAUAGAAUACGGGCACAUACUCUGACCCCUCCUUGAAGUAGGAAUUCGACCAAGGCAAGGCUAUCCGGGAUGCUAAACCAUGUGUACUGCAGCCCCCAUCCAAGGACCAAUUUCUUAUUACGUUGGAAUGCAAAAAGAAAGAAGUCUGGGGCGGAUCCCCUUUUGACUUUUCGAGUUCGGUCUUAUUAGUAAGGCAAGCCAAUUCUUUCUAGUCCCUUGCCCAGCUGGCCGAGCUACCAUGCCUUCUCCUUGAGAGAUGGAGAUUGUUCCCACUCUGGUCUAAAAAAAAAAGACUACUAUAGAGUGAGUCUACAGAAAUCUCUUAUAAACUGUACUAGUGAUAUAUUUCAUUCAAGAGAGGAGGAUAGCAAGGCAUCCUUAGGACUCCUACCCGUUGAGAGACCUAUGUGAUCUUCUUGGGUCGCUUCACUCUGUCCUAUUGAGGGAAAAUCCUAUUAUCUUCUCUUUAGUACCAGUCCAGUCCGCUUUAGAAAGUCACCGAUGACUGAAAUCUAUCAAUACUGCACAAAGACUAAGAUUUUUCUUUCAUAAACCAAGAGCCAGAGCAGGUUUCCCAUCCCACUACCCGUGCUGCUACCUUCAACCGGCCAGAUCUACUGAAUCAACAGAGUCGACUAGAUCGAGAUCAUAAUCAGAGAAUUGACUCUGAAUCCCUAUCACGAUCACCAAAUUCAAGAUAAUUUCCAUGGUCCAACUUAGAUAAGAAGGACUAUUUCAUGAUGCCCAUCACCCUUUGGUGGCUGGCCCGUCGGUCCUAAUCUCCUUCCCACAUAUUAAGCUGCGAACAUUCUAAUGGCGCAAAGAGCGGAACCGAAAAUCUCUCAAUUCAUUCAGCCUUCUCCUUAAUAUUAGGAGCAGCAGCAAAAAGAAAGGUCUAGAUUUUCUGACUCAUCUGGACUUGAGAAAACCAAAAUCAUAGUAUGAAUCUUUGAAUAGACCUUCCGCGGUUUAAGACUCCUUUCCUUUAAGUUAGGCUCAAUGAAAUUUGAGUCAAGAUGCGCCAUAAGACAGGCGCAAAGAAUAUUGACGAAAAGAAAAUCAGAAUGAACUCAUUAACGAGAAUGAAAGAAGCUAAAAAUGAAUCUGCUAGAUUUCAGACGGAGUGAAUUCCUAGGUUUUGCCCAUAGGGAAGUAGCAAGAAAAGACAAAAAAUCAGUCAUUUUUAGACAAUUAUCGUCAAAUAUCAAGAUUAACAAAAGUCACAUUUAGAAGCAAAAAAGCCGGGAAAUUGCAAUUCAAGAAGAACUCCUAUCCCAGAAAUUCACAUAGUUUGAUUCUUGUUUGAGUUUAUGGUCCGGAGAAAGAGAGGUAUAUUCUUUAUUUCCCUCCACGAAGGACUAGUCUGAAAUCUAGCUCUUCAAUCUAGCAGAUUCAUAAUGAUUCUUUCAUUCUCGUUAUUCAAUCAGAAUUCUUCUUUCAUUCUCGUUAAUGAGUUCAUUCUUCUUUUCUUGACUUUUGUGCCAGUCCGAAGGACUAUCCAUCAGGGAGAAGCGAAGCGCAUUCAAAUUCUUUUCACCUCCAGAAGAAGGCUCAGAAGGGCCUCCGUAGUCCGCUCCCUUUCGUCCAAUGUCUGUGAUCAAGUAAUACCAGAUUGGUAUUCACGGGUCGAGUUGCCCUCUCUCUUGGUCUGCCCUGUGCUAGCCGAGGCAGGAAGCUAGUCAAGGCAUUUAUCCGCCAGCUUCAAGCGAAAGAAGAAGAUCGAAAUCUAGAAAGAAAGCGGAUUCGCCUUCGUUACUGAAGACCUUGUGAUUGGCUUUUGGACAGAACCGAUGCUCAUCAAUUAGCUAUGUUCGCAACAUCUUCUUUCUCACAGCCUGCUUACUGAGGAAAGCCUGGUUGGUCCUACUAUUUUUUCUAGGGAUCACUAACAAGAGAAAGAAGGCAUCUUGGCUGAAUUUGGGGAGUGAGGCAUGGGAAUACGCUCUUUCAUGCCCUAUCAAAAAAGAUCAAGAAAUUCAUAAACUAUAUUUUUCAAAUAGCUAUUCAAGCCUUUCCUCCUGAAUUUGUCUUUCAGGAUAGGGUCCUUCUUAUCUGCCCAGUACUCGCAACCUAGGACCGCUAGAAAAGCCCAAGGAAGCUAGGUGGCAAGCUUUUCUACGUGAAUCACUAGUAGAAAGAAGAUAGAUCCACACCAUAAAUUGAGUAGGAAGAGUCUUCUGCCACAUCUGAACUUGACUGAAAGCAGGAAGUAGACCAGCCGAGCCGUCUUCAGCCUUUCUGAGUAGGAAGUGAGCUUCAAUAUUCUUUUCACCUCUUGCUUUCUUCUUUGCUUGACUUCUAGACAUUAGCAAGAAAGAAGUUGAUCCUAUCAAUCUCGAUUCAAAAGCAACUACUUCCCUACAUCCAUCCAUCCCGGCUUUCAAGCAUUGAAGGAUUCCUGCCCUCUUGUACCGCUACGUGGGUGACUCAUUAUGUAAACAAGACCUUUUUUUUCUACUUUUUCAGGUGUCGAGCCUCAAAUUCUUUGACCAUCAGACGGCUCUUUCCGUAACUCCUCCCCCGAGAACUGAAUACCCAUUGACUUUGAGCUUUGUCUUUCUUCUGAGUGAGAAUAGUACUUAUUCUUUACAGAGAAUUCUAACUCUUCCGAAAGAGCACCUAUGAAACUUAGCCCGAUUCCUAUUGCUUCUGAGAAUCGUACUGAUCCUACUUCUUCCCUUGGAAACUGGGACUGAUUGAAUACCGCCUCAAUUCCCCAUUACGCGCUUUUGGCCCUAGGCGAGAUGGAAGAAUGAUCUGUCUUUUUAGUCUCUUUGACUAAAGCUCUCCCAAAUAGGACGAAAGGUGGUAACAACCUUGUCUCGACGACGGAACCUUGUCUCGUGGAAGUUGAUGACUGAAAUCGGCAGCUCGACCUGAUUGGGCCUAAACUAAAGAAGGAGAUCUUUCGUAAGCGAGAUCGGCAGAUGCCCACGUAGCGCUUUCAUGGGCCCCCGAGCGGUAGGACGAACUCCUAAUUCUCUCUUGAUCAAGGGAAGAUGAAGAAUGCAGACGACUCGCCCGCUUAUUUCAAUACAAGUAGGACGAGACUACCCCUCCUGUCUCCACUAAAAAGUCCGGCUACUCUCAUGUAGAGUGGAAAGGCAGGGAGCGGGCAUCCGACCUCGUCUAUAUAUAGAUGAUCGGUGAUCAGCUUCACACACCUCUGAAUAAGGAAGGACACCUUUGACAGUAUCGUCCGACCCGGGAAUGAUCCGGUACAUUAAGAAAAUAUAAGGAGUGCUCCCAGAGAGUGAGCCCUUGACUCUCCUUGAUUCCCUUUAUACUGGACGGUGACCUAUCCCACCUCGCAGGGCACUACAGGCUCUAUUUGGCAUUGAGAAGAGUGAAAGAGAUAGAUUAAGCUGAAACUACCGCUACGUGGGACGAGAACUCUUUGAAUAAGUAAUUCUGAGUUAGGAUAUUCCAGAUAUAUAUGCAAAAAUGGAGUGGAGAUCACUGGGACCUCUUCGGAUCCCUACAUACUUCUUCUAGCUUUGGUUUCAGGGACGGAUUCCUUUACUGGGGAGCUAGCCUAUAAAACUGAACCCUCUCCUCUGAUCGAAGAGUUGCGUGGAUGGAUCGCUGUGAUAAGACUGAAAAUCACCGUAAAAAAGAGACUAAAAGGACAUAUGUAAAUUCAGAAAUCCGCCCUUUCAGAUCUCACCAUGGAUGAAACCCUCCUUUGCAAGACACUCAGGAAAGAAAAAAGUCUAAUUCGUCCGAGGCCUAGCCGAAAUCAAAGACAAGAAUCAGUUAAUAUGGAUAAAGAAGAUUGAGUUCCCUCAAAUUCUUUGAGCCUUCGUCUGUAGCUUUAAGCAACCUACGGCAAGGCGCGAAGCGAAGAAGGAAGACAAAGAAAAGACAACUCAAGAGGCGCAAAGAGCGAGGAGCAAAGAAUAUUUUCGUAGCCAAAAGGGCAGAGCUUGGGGAUAACUGACUCGAUCAGCAUUUUUCCGUAUUUUUGAGGGAAAGAUAGGGAAACUUCCACAUCACAUCUUUAUCCCUUGAUCAAUUCCUCCAUCCCAAGCUCUUAAGCUAUAGUACUUUCUGACCUAUUAAGAAUUUGGAAGUCGAUUCAAAGAUUCAAAGCAAAGGUUCGCUCCUGCUGAAAAAGCUUAGUAAGCCGGGCUUCGAAAAAGAGCUCUCGAAUCGGACUAAAAGGAAAAGGUAUCCUAUCCCCUAGGUGGCAGAGCAGCCUAUUCUAUACUCUCUACCAGCUGAUGAAAGAAGAUCCUAGUCUUGAACAUCAUACUCUUUUCUUUGAGAGCAGAGCUCACUUCACUUUGCCCAUCAGAUCCUUGAGCUAGUAGCUAGUUAGGGCUGAUAUUACAAUCAAGGAAUGAGAGAGUUUCAUAGGUGACUAGUGUAGAGAGAGGUUAUGAAAGAGACCGACUACGCGGUUAAGGCUGUGAGAUGGAUAGCCUUGCCCCGAGAGAGGCCAUAGGAUAGAGUCGAACCGACGAUGCUCUUCCAGCUAAGUUGUCUGGCCUGAGUCCGUUCACUGAGCUCUGAGCUUUGCUCCUGGUCGUCAAUAUUCUUUGUGUGCUGUCUACUCUUUUUUGGAAGAAAGUUUCAGCCUACUAAGAAUCAAGAAAGCGCAACUUCGAUUUUGAUGCCAACAACAUGAAACUUAAGGAUGAAAUGAAGAAAUGCAAAAAUAUCCAUCACUCUCCCGCUCUGAAUUUGCAAAGAUGCGGUUUCUGACUCCCCCACGGUGCGGUAGAAAAAUCUUGAAGCCUUGCACUCAUCAACGCAAUAUUCUUUGCGCCUUAUCUUACUUUCAGUCGAGCCGUCCUACGCAGCUUAAUAUGUGAGCGGGAGUGGGAACCUACUAUUUGGAAGAAGCCUAGGGGAUCAAAAUCAAGAGAGAAAGCCUAGAGGCGCGAAGCUACUUACAAGGCUAGGCGUAAUUGAGGAGACUGAGUUUACGAACGAGAUAAGGGUCAAAGAAUUUGAGAGGCGAGAGCAGCUCUUUCUUCUUUCUGUUUAAGCUGGAGACUUUCUUAUGUUCCCACGGAGCGGGUAGGGAAUUGCUCUUAGCCCAGGCCGUCGGCCUUCUUUCUGAAUUGACUGGUCCAUACAUUAAGAUACUCCUUUGCGAAAGGAAAGCUACUCUAACUAAAGAGAAGGAAUGAGACUAGCCGCACUAUAUCACUAUUCAGACGAGAGAAGAGGAGAAGAAAGGGCUAUGCCUUUCUCAUCCAUGAAUUAAUCACCGAAACCCCUUGCACUCCUCUUCCUUAUAAUCGCUAGGUCAAUAUUCUUUGAACCUUGUAAAGGAAGGAAGGAGGGUCAAGGUUAUCAGCGAGAAAGAAAUUCAGGGAGCAUCACGCCGAACUCCGUUUUCUUUCAUCUCUUGGCGCGAACGAGAUCAGAAUCGGCAGCUCGCCCAUAAGUCCAGUCCGCUGACAGGUCAAAAUAAUCGUAAGCCCCCCUGAAUUAGUUCUUUCCGCGGUUGCUCUUGUUUCGGCAGUCGCUGUGGAAAAAGAAGUGGCUGUCGCAGUAGUCGUUCCCGUUGAUCGGGCAGAUCGCUAGAGCGUAAGGCCUCAUUCAAGGAUGAAUUAUGUACUAAAACAUGUCCACGUUUUUGACUCUUCUUCUUUCACCUUCAAACUUGAAUAAAGACUUCAAACUUCCCGGAUGAUUUCCCUGGAAGGAUUUCUUCGAUUCGUCUGUAAAGUGAAAGUAGUGAGGAAACCGCUCAGAGGCACUCGCUCGACCGAAGGAAGACAAGGCAGAAAGUCCCCACCAGCAGCAUUGGAUCUCGAAGGAUCACAGGUAAAGGAUCGACGAGACUCAAAUUCUUUUCCUUGUCAAUAUUCAAAUAGUGGUCCUUUUUCUUUAUCAAGCUUAAUCUGUGGAAUAUUAGUGGAUAAACAAGGGUUCAAAAAAUCAAGGUCCAGAUGACAGGCUCAAUGAAAUUUGAGUUUCUGACUCCUUCUCAAAUUCUUUGAUCCUCAGUCCUAUCCAUAUUAACCCGGGAUUUCUCAAUCUUCUGAUCGCCAUUCUCUUCUUUCUUCUUUGCACCUCUCCUUUGAAUGCGCUUCGCUUCUCAAGAAUAUCCCUUAUGGCACCUGUGAAAAGUCAAGAAAAGAAAAGAAUAAUUCACUCAUUAACGAGAAUGAAAGAAUAAUUAGGAUUGAAUCACCUUGUUUUUACGGAGGGAAAUGCUAGGUUUUGCCCAUAGGGAAGUAGCAAGAAAUCAUGAAAAAUCAGUCAUUUUUCGACAAUUUUCGUUAAAUAGAAAUCUUUGAUUUAGUCCUAUUUAGAAGCAAAAAAGCCGGGAAAUAGCAAGGCAUUGUCCUAUUUGAUUUUCGAAAUUCACAUUGAUCAGUUCUAGUUUGAGUUUAUGGUCCGGAGAAAGAGAGGUCUAUUCUUUAUUUCCCUCCGUAAAAACAAGGCUCAAAGAAUGAUCGGAUUCUUUCAUUCCCAUUUUGAGCUUCUUUAAUUCGAGUUAAUGAGCUUCUUUUCUUUUCGUCAAUAUUAUAUUCAUUGAUUUGGAGAUUGAAGACGGAGUUCAUUCCUAGAAAAUGCUAGGGCGAGACAGGUCCUCCGGACUAUCCAUAUUAACCUGUGACGCCUUCGGACCUGUCUCGCAAUAUCCUUUGCGCCUGGACGUUUUUGGGACUUGUUUAUAUCCAUAUUAGCUUGGAGCCUCCUACGCAGCAAUGAGAAAUUUGACGGAUGAAAGCCUAUGUUGAGGACUCGGAAUGAGUUCCAGAAAGAGGGUCUAAAAGGAGAGGUUCAAAGAAUAUUGACUUGGACAGGAGCUAAGUUCUUCGGACCACAGGCUCAAAGAAUUAUCGAAGGAAUCUGGACCCUUGUUGCGGAAAUUAAGCUGCUCCUCCUCCUCAACGUUCUAAUGGAUAGGACUGAGGCGCAUCAAAAAAAAGGUUGAAGAUGACCUUGAUUUUUUCCUAACUUAUUUCUUAUAAAGAGAAGGCGAGUUAUUUCAUCCCUCUCUUCUCUCCCUGCCCCCUAGAACCGAUCCUAUCUAUCAUUUAAAGCCCUUUUCGACCUUUGCUUUCAUUCGAAUCACAUUCAGGUAUUUGACUCUGAUCCGGAAUCCCCCAAUCAAGAAGGAAGAUGGGACAUGUAAAGGAUAAAGAGUUUCAAGCAAGGCGCCGACGAAUGAAUAAUGAAUAAGGAAGAGCGAUCCGACGAAGCUACUUCUGCAACAAGGAACUACUACAACUGCCACAGCCCCUUACCGCCCGCUACGUGGGCUUAGAGCUAUUUCUUCCUCAACUUCAUUCCCCCAAGCAAUAGGCCUCUUCCGGGUGGCUUUCUUAUCCUAGGAAAGUGAUUUGACUGAUUCUCAUUUGAUUUGAGGGGAAAAUGCAAUCUUUACAAGUGCGUAUGAACUUCCAGUCUCGCAGCUUGGUCGAAAAGCUUGGGCUAGCGGCUGAUUCAACUGCUAAAGCUACAGCUUCAAGAUCGAAUUCCCUGAAAAAUCUCUCUCUCAUCCCUUUCCGCGCACUAAGAAGGUUCGUAAACUCUUUUUUGAAGACUCUCCUUUCUUUUUGCUUCGCACCUUCUAAGUCAGAUCAAUUCCAUCUCACCGCUACGUGGGCCUCUCGUGAAAGAUCCUAUUCUCUGGUCGUAUUCGCACCUUUCUCAGGGGAUCAUACCCUUUUUAGAGAAAGAGAGAAUGUUUCUGUCUGCUGAAACUAGGGUUAGCUGUGUCUAACCUUCCCCUUAAGAAGAGAUAUGAUAAGACCUCGUUCACUCAGCUUCAACACUCAAAAUCCGAACCCUAGAAAAGAAAGCCGCAUCCCCUUUGUGCUGUCCCACUCCUCUCCAGCUUCCUCUUACUAAAUCAAAGUCAAGCCCCUUCGCUCCUAUCCUAUGAUUCUGAGUUCAGUUGCUCUGAUGAAGGAUCGUCUUCCUAUUUCUAAUCCGGAACAGAAAGAGCUUCAACGGCGGCCAAGAAUCAGCUCAUUUUGGACUCUUCAGAUCCCUAUCUAUCCGGAGAGGAGCUUCGCUCAACACCCUUCUUUUGUUUUGCUUCUUAGUGAUAGCUUCUACCCUCGGAGAUGGAGCUCCUUCUUGUUCUCGAUCUGAUUCCUAUCGCUACUUCAUACCUAACUGGCACCUAUGAAACUGGGACGGAUUCCUUUGCUCUCGUUCGCUGACUCUGACUUUGGUCGAGCUAUCACUACUGCUGGCGUCAAUAUUCUUUGAACCUCUUCCUUCGGAAAAGGUCAAUAUUCUUUGAACCUCUCUAUCUCCUUAAAUAUUGAACUUAAGAACCUCAAAAGAAAGCGGAAAUCUUCUCCUCGCAAUAUUCUUUGCGCCUAGCCUUCGAUCUGACGCUUUUGCUAGUCCCUGGUCGAGUCUUUCCUCUUUCUUCAACAUAGGAGUGCAGUCUGAUUUCUGAUUCUUUAGGUAGCAAUUCUUCUUUCUUAUUCUGAAAGGCCCGGAGGUUGAAAAAAGCUCUUUCUUUGUUCUUAUCCUCUUAGAAUAUAUUAUUCAAUUCAAUUGGUCUUACAAGGAGCAGAAGUUUUUGUCAAUUCGUACGUAGAAAUUUCAUGUGUGAAGCUCUAGGUCGAUCCGGAGCUACGAAAGCUUUCUUCUCCCAGUUCUUUCUAGGUCAAGAAAAAUGAAUGGGAGGCGAAGGGGAGAGCUUCCGAGUUCAGUCCCACAGGUAUCGGCUUCCUAUUUUAGUUCUUGUUAUGAAAAGUAGAAAGCCUUCGAUCCUAAGUUAUUGCUUUUUUCGACAUGGUCGAGACCCCGAGAAAGUCUCGAAGCCUAUCAUAGCACCGAUCCAACUCCUCGCAAUAUUCUUUGCGCCUUCCUUAAGUCUGAAUCAAUCAAUAAUCAAUGAAUGAGGCUUUCCCGUAAAGCACUCAGUGCUCAUACGACCAAGAAAAGAUAAGAAAGAGGGAGAGAGGCUCCAUAAGACAGGGAUAUUGUAAGCCGAUCUUGCUGUUUUGACCUGAAUUACGGAGUGAAAUCAGCCGAUCUUGCACAAGACAGAAGAAGAGCUUCUUCCCCGACAAAAACGAGUACCGGGAAGAGGGUCAAAGAAUUUGAGGAAGAGCUUUUUCCUUUGGACUAGAUUGCGAGAACGUUCUAUAACCACUAACCACUGAAAGGUGGCUUCUUCGCAAAUUCUUUGCACCUAGGUUCUCACGCAUAUUUCAUUGCGCCUCAUACUGACUUCCACACUUACCUCUUUCUUUCCCUUCCUCAAACCUAAAACACAAAGUAUACCUUUCUUCUUCGCAAUAUUCUUUGCGCCUGACUUACCUCUUCUUUCCUGACUUACCUGUACUGUAGGGCUUCGCCCCCUUAUACUUCCUGUACUUCCUUAUCUUUUUCUUCCUGACUUACCUGUACUUUAGGGGCCCCUUUAAACUUGUUCUUUCUUUCCUGUUGUUGCUCUUGGGCUUCGCCUUCAUACUUUUGGUUACGGUGGCUUCUUCGCAAAUUCUUUGCACCCUCCGUUAGGAGUAUUAAGACGGACCCUUCCUUCCAUAUGGAUGGUCCUACUUCGGUUAAUUACGGAUGGUCCUACGGAUAAAUCCUCCGGACUACUUCCUUCCAUAUGGAUGGUCCUACGGAUAAAUCACCUGGACCUUUCUUUGGCCCUGCGGACGUAGGACGUAGGACUACUUCGGUUAAUUACGGAUGGUCCUACGGAUAAAUCACCUGGACCUUUCUUUGGCCCUGCGGACUGCGGACUCCGGACCCUGGACCUUUCUUUGGCACGUAGGACAGGUGAAUACUAUUAUUUUCACGGAGGCUCAAAGAAUGAUCGAGGGAUAGCUCUGAUUUUCACGGAGGGAGGCGAGACUGAAUCAAUGAACAAAGGUGAUACUUAUCUCUUUCUUUUGUCUCAAGCUUUUAUACCAUUGACGUGAAGGAUUUGCCUUCAUGAAAACGAAGAAGAAAAGGAGCGGAUCGCGCACGCCCACUCCGCGGUAAAGGCCUAAUGUCAGAGGGAGGCGCAAACUAAGCCGCUGCUCGAGCCACAGGAGAGUAAUACGGGGAUCGACUUCCACCUAGUUGGAGGGAGGAGCCAUAGCUCUUGCUUUUUCAGCAGUCCUUCCUGUGUAGGAUGAAAGAUCCCUUGUUCGGUAAGCGCGUCAUCGACCAGCUUAUAGCGAGCCUAAUCACCCCAUUGUAGGGUAGAAAGAAGGGCGAUUUAUCUCAAUCCAAGUGAAAAGAGAAGCAAGGCCGACGGCCAACGAACUCCUACUAUCUAUUCCACACUACCAGCAAGGUGAAAAGAAGAUUGAAUCCGUCUUCCGCUCCGUUGACCCUAGCGAUCAUGAGAAUUCCCAGGUUUUCAUCCAUUCACAAAAAGACCCAAUCCCAGUCGUGGAAGAGAAGUCAGAAAUGGGACAGAUCUUUUGGCACUCUCCGAGGAGUUAGGCUUAAUUCAAAGGAUGAACCAUAUCUUUCUACGCAAACUAAUAGUUCUAUAUCGGAAACAAGGUCUGAUGACAUGGAAGAUCGUCGCUUUAGCCCGGCUUAGGUCGCAUUCCUAUCUGACUUAGUUGCUCUCAUACCAUAGACUCGGAAAGAGAUAAUGACUCUGGGGUAGAUGAAAUUUCUUCGUGCCGGGUUUAUGUAAGAAAUCGCCUAGUGCUUGAAUUGCACUGACUGUAUUUUCAUCUAUAUUGCAAAUAGAAGAAAGAGCACUUAAUAGGGAAUACGAAGAAAGAACUGAGCCGGGACUGAUUACGAUCGGUCUCAAACCUCUAUCUUGUAUUAUCCCUUUCAGAGACUUCAGUGAGGGAAGACCUCUCACUCCCCCAACCCUGGCUGACGAACCUAUCCAGAUCCAUUGGGAAGAAGAUCCCAUGACGGAGGUGACUUCUAGCUUCGUACCGAAGCCAAUUCCUUACCGCUCCGUGGGUUCAGAUGAAUGAGACGGUCUUCCUAGCGCCGUCCUAUCUUUGAUCAUACAAUGAAAUACCGCGUAGUGGGACCUGCCUUUUUCUUUUCGAAAUAAAUAAGAAGGAGGCUGGAUUCAAUUUCGAAUGCCCUUACUUUACUAUUCAAAACUAUACUCUACGCGCGAGAUGAUGUAAGACAAGAAGAAGAUCAGAAGAGCUUUCAAUUAUUCUAACGAAGAGCUUUUAGAGAAAGGUGCGUAGCAAGGCUCUCAGAAAUUGAGCAGAAGCGAGACCAUUGUCAAGUUUUCAUAGUCUUUUAUCAAAAUCGAAAGAUAUAAGUAGUAAUUCACAAUAUUCAAUAAGUUAUAAAGCUCUGCGAAUGCGCAAAUAAUCAGAUAUUCACUGGUGCAAUGUCUUAUUCCCGCUCCCUGGGAGGUAUACUCUAGAAGUCUUUAUAUAUUGAUUAUGAACCGCUCCGCUCAUAAUCCGAGAUUCACUUCUCAGAAGUAGUUCACAAUAAAUUCUCAAGCUCUUUCCUAAUUAAUCUUCCCGCUCCGCUCAUAAUCCGAUAUUCAGACGAAUCUCAUAAUAGUGGUUGAUCUUUGUUUAUUUGCUUUAUCAAGCUCUUAUUCUUCUCUGCGUCUUUCUGAAACUUUCUUCUGCAGAUAUGAAAAAUCAAGCUCCAGAUGAGUUUCAUUCUAGCUAGAACUCGUUCUCUCCGCGAAUAAUCAUCUAUUCACAAGAAAUAAAUAGUAAUCUCUUCUCUCCUUUGUAAACCUACUAUUUGGAAGAAAGCCUAUCCUUCUACACCGCGUAGUGGGUCGAGCUGCUUCGCACCGCUCCGUGGGCUACUUCUCUCCACUUCUGAAACUGAAAGUCAAUGAACAAGGCUCAAAGAAUGAUCGAGGAGUCUUAAUUGAAUCAUAUUGCUCCAAAAACAAAGGUCCAGAUGAGUCAGAAAGAUUUCCUUAAGUCCUUCGGACGCUUUCCUCUCGUCGAUCGGGCUUUGGUCGUACGUAUGAUAGUAAUUCAUUGAAUGAAUCUAUUUCCCUUGGUUGGGCAGCACUAGAGAUGCAAGGUCAGCACCAACUUCCACUUCUGCAGCAUCAAGGGAGAAAGAAACUGCCCGUGGCUCUCGAAGCUAGGCUUUCAUCCGCCAAAUUUCUCAUUGAUCUGGUGGUCGAAGAGCGAGCUUCAAGGGCAGAGAGAGUAGCUCAAUAAAAGACAAGAAGAAGGAAAAAUAAUGGAUUUCUAGUCCUUCGCCUAAGAAUAAGGUUCAAAGAAUAUUGAACUCAUGAAUAUGGAUCAAAAUCAGUCCCACUAUUUCAAGUGGAAUUAAUGGCGCGACAGGCGCAUAUUGCGAUGAAUCAUCUUUUUUUCUUUCGAGGACUACGAAUUUUGACAGUCCGAAGGUGCAAAGAAUAUUGCGUGAGAUUUUGGAUAGCUCUGACUUUGAAAAGACAAAGAAGGACUUCGGACCAAAAAAUAGGCGAAGCGAAUACUCGUGCAAGUGCUGGAGCGGAAUCCUGUUCAUGGAUUUUGAGUGGAUUCGGAACUAUAAAUGGUCGGCGAAUAUAUAGGAUGAAAGUACAGUGAUGUCCGUCCUUGUUAGCACGUCCGGUCUUCGACACACUAUCGAUUUUCUUGACUUUCUUCCUUUCCUUAGCCUGCUUAGGGCUGCCCCACGUAGCCGUAGCGGUGGGGAUCUAUUACUUUCAAGUCUAGUUGCUCCCUUAUAGAUAAGGGUUGUAAGCAUUCCAGUCUCCCUUGUUCGGAAAGAUGUUCACUCCUCAAAUUCUUUGAGCCUCUUGUUAUACGCGAAGAAAGCUCUUUUCCAGACACUCACUUAACAAGGCAAGGAUGAAUAGUGAUAUGUAGUGAUCCUAAAGCCUGGCUUUGAGCCUUCCUUGCUUUCCAUGAGGGCUGGAAGCGUGGCACCUCACACCUUUGUACACGUAAGAACUACUCAUCUGCACCAUCAAAGAAAGGUCCAGGGUCCGGAGUCCGCAGGAUUUAUCCGGAGUCCGGAGGAUUUAUCCGUAGGACCAUCCGUAAUUAACCGAAGUAGUCCUACGUCCGCAGGAUUCUUAUCCGUAGGACUAUCCAUAUGGAAGUAGGACCAUCCGUAAUUAACCGAAGUAGGACUAUCCAUAUUCAGGAGCGGAAUCAAGAAUAGACCCGUCAGUAUCCGGACCAGAAACCAUAAGAAAACUCUGUUCAUUGAUUUUCCCUAGAUUUUUCUAAUGGACCAGUUGCAAUUUCCCGGCUUUUUUGCUUCUAAAUAGGACUUUUUCGACUUUUCUUAUCUAACGAUAAAAGUACUUUUUUGACUGAUUUUUUGUCUUUUCUUGCUACUUCCCUAUGGGCAAAACCUAGCAUUUCCCUCCGCGGAUUCAUCUGAAAUCUAGCAGAUUCAUCUUCAAUCUAGCACAAAUCAAUGAAUAUUGACAAUGAACAAGGCUCAAAGAAUUUGAGUCUGCUUUCAUUCCCAUUUUGAGCUUCUUUCAUUAUCGUUAAUGAGUUCAUUCUUCUUUUCUUUUCUUUUUUCUUUGAUUGACUUUUCACAGUCCGGAGGACAGGUCCGAAGGCGCAAAGAAUAUUGCGAGGAGUUGACUAUCCAUAUUCAUGAAAAAGGACGGGUGAGGCUCAAAGAAUUUGAGUCUUUAUUCGCCUAUGAAGUAAUUCUUCCACGAAUCAACUCAAUCGAGACGAGGGACAUAGGCUCCCAGUACGAAGGGACUGAAGCGAACCCCACCGGUGCCCGCCCUUGAUCUAUUUUAGAGGCAUAUUCAGUCCUGAAUGAGUAAAUGAGUGAAUCUGGGCACGCACAUCUUGGAACCUUCUCUUUUCAUUAAGAAAGAAAGAAUCCCAGGUUCAAAGAAUCCAGGGCUAAGAGGACUAGGGUGCGAACCCCAUCCACCGAUUCCUUCUUUCAUAAGUCAGAGUCUGAAAGCAUAAGUCGACAUCAAUAUAGGUCCUAAGCUAGCAUAGGACGGACGGGGCGGAGUUGGAAGCUCUCACGGAGGGGCGAAGCGACUGGGAAGGUGGGUUAGCAAGGCUGGAUUCAAUUGAGUGGGUGGAAGCGAGACCUGUCCUCCGACCUCUUUUAUCCACUAAUAUUUGACUCCGGACUUGUUAAUGGAACUAAUAUGUUCGGGAGGACCUCUUUUAUCCGUCCUCUUUAGAGUCCUUCGGACGUCCUCAGUCCUAUUCAACCCAUUCCAUUGAAUUUCUGGAAAUAAGGGUCAAGAUGCGCCAUAAGACAGGUCCGAAGGACUAUCCAUUAGGGGAUUUGAUGACGAACGUUAGGAUCAAUGAAAUGAAUUUGAUGAGAAAGAAUAUUGCGAGAAGUCAUGAUCCCUUUCAUGCAGCUGCUUAAAAAAGAGCUUUUUGCGAAGUCAUGAUCCCAAAGCAAAGGCCUUAAAUAGGGCAAUAUUCUUUGCGCCUUGCACUCCUUUCUUCUUUUCUUAGAUAAAUGCGCUUCGCUUCUUCUCAAAUUCUUUGAGCCUUAGUUAAGCGCAAAGAAUAUUGCGUCAUGAUCCCUUUCAUGCAGCUGCUUAAAAAAGAGCUUUUCAUUUGCGAAAAAGUAUUAUGGAAAUAAUAUCCGGACUGAUUUUUUAUGGAACUGAUUUUCAAAGAUUCCACUAAAACUGAACCGCAAUAUUCUUUGCACCUAGGCUUUCUCCCAACAAAUCUUCGUUCUUAGUUAUUUGAACCUUCAAUCUUUUCAAAAAGCUUAUUGAUUGAUUCAGGGCUUAGCCCUCCUUCUUAGAACCCAUUGAGGGGAGGCCCGGGAAGGGGAGAGUGGCCGAGCGGUCAAAAGCGACAGACUGUAAAUCUGUUGAAGUUUUUCUACGUAGGUUCGAAUCCUGCCUCUCCCACGGAGCUUCUUUGUUGUAGACUGAAGAGAAGAGAAAGGAAAGGAGGCAUUCGUCGUCAGCGUAGGAAGAAGGCCGACCGAGCCAAUAUGUGCUUUCUUUUUUUUUGCCGUGCCGUGAAGUUCAAUUGUAUCGUAUUUCAGUUUAGAGAGGUUGCCGAAUUACUACGAUCUAUAGAUUCCCAUCGAUAGACAAUCCCAACCAGAAUAGAAGCGAGUCGCUUCCGCUUUGGCUUGUAGUCCUUGUCUUUUAGCUUAUGUAGUGGUCGGCCUUCCGACACGCGCGCGCCCGCCAGAAUGCCCCCUUGCUUCUGCACGAAGCCCAAGCCAAUACAUAGGAUAGGCGAAGGAAAGACCCCCCAUUUCAUAGCGCCUGGGGAAGGCAAGUUUUCUCGAGGAUUGGAGGCGCGACAGGCUCAAUUCAGAAAUGGAUAGUCCGGAGGUUCAAAGAAUAUUGACUAGACUUCCAGUCCGGAGGCGCAAUUCAAUAUGCGAAUGAGUGCAAGCGAAAACUAAUAGAUUUCAUAGUCAAGAGGACGGAUACCGCACCUCGCAAUAUUUUCAGUGGAAUAAGACUGAUCUGGAGCCUUUGUUUUUGACUCCUUGCUAUUUAAUGGAUAAACAAGUCCUCCGGACGGGUCCAGCAAAAACAAAGCGGAAAACGCAAGUCAAAUUCUCUAAUGGAUAGGCCUUGCACUCCUUAAUAGAAAGCCGAGCAUUUGCACGCAAUAUUCUUUGCACCUUGUUUUUGUUCUUCGGGCCUUCGUAGCUUAACUUAAUAUGGGGAUCUGAUCUUUGCUCCUAACUACGGGGUCCGACCGCCCCGUGGGAAUAAGAUGAAAGUAGCGGAGUAGUUUGAAAGAAAGGAUAUAAGUUUCAGUGGAAUAAAGGGAGAUAGGCUUGAAUCUUUUUAGUAGGAAAAUCAAGGUCCAGGUGACGGAAGAAAAAGUCAAAAGUCUAUCCCUGUCAUUGAACAGAUUCAUUGAGGACUUUCAUCUUCUAUAUUAUGAGGCUUACUAGUAAUGCUGAAGUUCCUCCUACGGGAAUCAAAAGUGAAAGGAAGGAAUAAGGACUCAAAUUCUUUGAGCCUCCGGAGCCUUCAUCAUUUCAUUUUGAUGCCUUCUACGGCGUUCAAGUCAAAGAGUAUUCAAGAUCAGAGUUUCAGAGCUUUAUCAAAACUUAUCUUUAUCUUGUCUUUGAAGAAAGCAAUAAAAAAAGUUAAGACGAGCUAUAUACUCCGAAGGACGUCGUCUGGACCCAGCCGUAGGCUUCUUAAAAUAGUGAGGAGUCCGGAGUCCGCAGGAUUUAUCCUACGUCCUACGUCCGGAGUCCGCAGGAUUUAUCCGGAGGACUAUCCAUAUGGAAGUAGUCCGGAGGAUUUAUCCGUAGGACCAUCCGUAAUUAACCGAAGUAGGACCAUCCAUAUGGAGGGAAGUAGUCCGGAGUCCGCAGGAUUCUUAUCCGUAGGACUAUCCAUAUGGAAGUAGGACCAUCCGUAAUUAACCGAAGGAGGACUUUCCGUAAUUAACCGAACUUUGCGCCUGGACUGGACUAGAAAUCCAUUAUUUUUCACUUUUAUCCGGCUGCUCCUACGGAGGCGCCAUAACCAUAAGACAGGGAUAUUGUUGGAGCUUUAUUUUGCAUUUCAGAUUUCUUGAGUUGCGCUCCUUAACAGAAUAAGGAAUGAGCUUCUCCCCUCUCCUUACAGUCGAGUUAUUUCAUAACCUUCGCCUCGCAAAUUCUUUGCACCUUGCGCUCCUCUCUAGUCUCGCGCUCUUUGCUUCGCACAUCUGCGUCCUUCUUUUUGUUCUUCGCGCCUCCGGACCAUUAAUCAGUCCUUCGCCUCAUUCUUAAGUCAGAAAAUUCAGGCUCAAGAUGAGAUUCUUUCUUUUCUGGCGGCUUAAUAAGCGAGUCAUGAUCCCUUUAAAGCAGACGUUAGGAGCAAUUCAAUAUAUCCUAGGCUUGAUUCAUGAAAGCUAUAAAACCCUAAAAUAGCAAGGAGUCUUAUGGAACUUAAAGGACUGAGGUUCAAUAGGGUAGAGUCUCAUCACCCCAUUAAUAAAGUUUGGAGUCUUAUGGAACUUGAAUAAGGAGCGGAGCAAAAACAAAGGUCCAGGUGACUAUUCAAUCUAUUUAUUGAGAAGAGGACGGCUCGGGAUGGAUUUAGGAGUCUUUGUGCGAGCCGUAUGCGGUGAGAGUCGCACGUACGGUAACGAGGGGGGUUCGCGUCUAUACGUGUAGUGUGGUGGUUGGGCCUACCCACCCUAUUUGUUCCAUGAUCUAUGGGUCUACUGGAGCUACCCACUUCGAUCAAUUAGCCAAGAUUUUGACCGGAUACGAAAUCACUGGUGCUCGAUCUAGUGGUAUUUUUAUGGGGAUUCUAUCUAUCGCUGUAGGAUUCCUAUUCAAGAUCACUGCAGUUCCUUUUCGGGCGGCUGUAGGACGGACGGCCGCCUAUAGGUGGUAGGGUAGGGUGGGUGGUACCGCUCAGAUUGUGGCCAAUCUUCCUAACCGCGCGCGGGCCGGGCUUAGAGCGCGUGAAACUCAUCACUACCUCGUAAGGGCGUUGAGACCAUAGCAUGUUACACGAAAGCGCCGCUUUCUCUGUAGUGUUGUCACACAGCAGCCCGCCUAGAAGAGCCACUCGCUCUGUAGUGUUGUCACAUAAGAUAAGCACGCCGCCCGCCUGCUGGCCGGGCGAAUCGAAGUUCUCUUCCGGUCAACUGUCCACCCAGUCAAGUGCAAAAAACACAGUAGAAUCACGCAAGGCACGCAGCUGGUGUGCUUCCUGCCCGCGAGGAAAGAAAGAAGAGCGACAGGGUUGAGUUCAGAUUUGACUGUUUGCAGCAUGGGAGCGGAUUACCCAAAAAAUCCCUGGGAACAAUGAAAAAAAAGAUAUCUCGGUAACGAAAACUAUGGGGGGCUGUAUUGGCGAGAUCCAACGGUGAACAGCUGCCCAAAAGAAAAACCGCCUGGAAGUCCGAGGACCUUUAGUACCGUACCCUACCCCCAAACCAGCAGCCUUCGCGCCAAGCAAGACCGCCCUUGUCCCUUUCCUUUCUCCAUUCCGCCUCCUUCUUUCUUAGCUUUGUUCCAAUCGAGUCUAAGGCAAAGAGUGGAAAGUAUACCUAUUUUUUGACCUACUUGACGAUAGAAUAUGCGAGAGCAAGAACAAGACUAAGAAGUCUCGGUGCGAAGAAAGUUCAACAAUUAAGGAAGAAGACUAGUCGGAAAGAUCAAGCCUAGGUAAAGAAUCUAUCAACUCUUAAUCACGAUACGGAGCGGUGCGAAGCAGCGAGAAAGAGGAUUUAGAAAAGAGCUUGAUUAUCUUAUUAUUAGUUCUUAUAAGAAAAGAAGAAGAUUUGAAAGAAAGGAAGAGAGAGUCCGUCUCUCAAUUCACUUUGCUCCGUCGGCUGAAUUCAUUGAGAGAAAGAAUUUGAGAAGGAGUAUAGUUUGAAAGAAAGGAUAUAAGAGGAAAGCCAUAAAAAAAGUUAAGACUCGACUAUAAAUAACUUUGCUCCUACUAUAUAGCUCCGGACGAGUCAGGCGCAAAGAAUAUUGCGAGGCUCAAUUCCGUUAAUAUGGAUAAGUCCUUCGGACCUGUGAAAUCCAAAAAAUAGGCAUAUUGACAAAGACGCAAUAUUCUUUGGGCCUUCGUAGCUUAAUAAUGGCCCACUCCGUUUUAGAGUCCUUCUUCUUCUUUCUGGGAGUCCGGAGGACCGGUCUCGCAAUAUUCUUUGCGCCUAACGUUAGAGUCCUACUUCGGUUAAUUACGGAUAGUCCUACUUCCUUCCAUAUGGAUGGUCCUACGGAUAAAUCCUCCGGACUACUUCCCUCCAUAUGGAUGGUCCUACGGAUAAAUCACCUGGACCUUUCUUUGGCCCUGCGGACGUAGGACCCUGGACCUUUCUUUGGCACGUAGGAGGGUGAAAAGAAUAUUUCACUCAUUCACGCACUUUGCGCCUUCGCUCCAAAUAAAGUAAUAGCUAUUCUCAGAAGGCUGAAUGAAUUGAGAGGAUCAAUGAAAUUUGAUGAUGAUGAGUUGCGUGAGAAA